GCAAACUGCUGCAAUACUAGGCUGAGUGGUUUGGGUUAAGGUUAUGGAUGUUCAAAAAAUUCAUUUUGAACAGCACCUUGUAUUGAAACUGAUCAAUGCCUGUAAAAACCAAACCACUUGAAACAGUCUUUGAUUGGUCAACCACUUUAGAAAAGUUGUUCAAAUGAUCAAAUUAACCAAACCACACAUCUUCUCUAUGAUUCGUAAGCCGUGAUCCAUUUUCAUCCCAAUUUCCAAAAUCUUAGAUUUGUCACGAACCCUAAACUAGCUCUUGGUGCUCAUAUGUGUUCUCUUCUUAAAGCUGAUCUCAAAGUUUAGGUUGACAAUUUUAUUACCUCUGUAAUUGCUCAACUUAAUAUAUCAUCACUAGUGAGUAUAAUUUUCCAAUUGCACCAUUAAGGUUGUUGUUUUGUGGUGAAUAUAUCAGUAUAUCUUUGAUUUAUGUUCUUUUAACAUAUCAGCUGAUUUCUCCACUUGUACUUUUUUCAAUAUUCUCUACAGGAUGAGAGAAGCAAACAGUGGCGAGUGCAGGCAGUUUCAGUAUCUCCCGAUAGAUUCGAGAGCCGGAAGGCUCUACCUUCACAGUGGCGAGGUUUAAGGGAUGACAUACUGUCUAAGGAAUCUGGCAUUCCUGGUUGUGUUUUUGUCCAUAUGAGUGGAUUUAUUGGCGGAAACCAAACUUUUGAAGGUGCUUUGGCCAUGGCAAAAGCUGCUUUGAAGAUGUAGGCAAAGGAUUGUAACAAGUCAAACACUAUGAUCCAUUAAUUUUGCAGGAACAUUUCACAGUCUAGUUUUAUGGUUGCAUUAAAGGGGCAGAGGGAUGGGAACAGAGGUUUAAAGAUAAUAAUACUGAGCUAUUAACUUUCUUAAGGAUAAUUACAAUUGAGUUGUUAACUUUAUUCACUAAUGUAUUCUGGAUGCUCUUUUAUGAUAAAAUGUCACUGGUUUUUGUUUAAUCAGGAUGUAUCCCCAUAACAUGAAUUUUUUUGUUUUCUUGAGAGCUCUAGAGUCUCAGACUAUGAAAAUUCCUAAAUGCAAUGAUUUAUGUGAACACAUUUUUUUGUGUACUUUAUUAGUUCCUUUCAGUUUAUGUUCUUAAUAAGUAUUGUGUUGAUGAGCAUAUCUGAAUUGUACUCAAACUGAAAUUUUGGAGUUGAAACUAUAAACGUCUAAAAAAAAGUAAGGUUUGAGAUUGAAGCAGAGGGCUUGGGAUGUAGGGGAAGAGCACCUGGGAAUGUAUCAUAUCUAUUUUUAUACAUUCCUUGUAAUUUUGAUCUGGUUUAAUGAGGAAAGUAAUAAGGUUGUUCAUUGUAUCAUUGUGAAUAAUUGAAGUUCUUACUAUAUGUUCUCCAUAUGGAACCACAUAAAAUCUGUGUACAGUUCUUAUUGUGUGUGUGAAUGUGAUCAUAGCAAGGAGGUUCACCACGGAGGCGAUACCACCCUAGCAACCGAGCUAAUUUCUGGUGGUGAAGCCAGCCUGUGGUGGCUUUUCAGAUACAGAUUAUCUCAGGCCUUGUUUUGAUUCAUGUGAAACCCUCUUGAUAGCAACUUCAGCCUUAGAAUCUGGCAACAUUCCUUUGCAAACUUGAUCAACAUUUCUUAAUUUCUUGGUAGGAUUAUCACAUCAGCAUUCUUGAUUUUUUUCUGUACAUGUAAAGGCCAAGUAAGAAAGCAGACAAUGCAACAAUUUCUAACACAUUUAUAAUCAGGUGUAUCUUUUUCUUCUUUGGCCAUACAAAUUGUGGGAGAUAAGAGAUCAAGGGGUGAGUUGGUCCACCUAUUUUGAAGCUCCAACCCGUACAUGGAUUACUUUCUUUUCGGUUUGAUAUAGAAUGUAGAUGGUGCGACAUUGAUAAUAACUGACUCAUAACUCACUCGCUCACUCUGUAACUCCUAAGUAAGAAACUCACAAUUUUAUAUAUUUCAAUGAUGAUGAUUCAAGGAAUGUUUGACCUUAUUUAUAGUAAUCCUAGAGGCCUCAGAAAGAAUUGUAAUGAAGUAAUGAGAAUGUAAGAAAUAAAAUGUCAUCGUAAGUGACUAAGUGGUUGUAUGUCAACUAUGAUGGUUCUAUGCCAUGUUAUAAAAAAUUAUUUGAAAUUACAUAUUUGCCCCAAAAACUUUUAAAAUUACAAAUUUUCCCCUAAACUUUUCAAUAUUACAAAGUUACCCCCUGAACUUUUGCCCCAUUUUUUUACAGAAAUUACAAAUUUUCCAUGUACAUUAUGAAAUUACAAUUUUACCCUUGGUCUAACAAAAUACGACUUAUCAAGAAAGCCUUUUUUAGUGCCAUUCACAUAGAAGAUCUUAUUAUGGUCUAUGGUUACAUUUUAAUUUGAUCUUCUACGUCAGAAAGAAAGUAUUCUAUUUAUUAGAAACAAAUUGCAGUAUUGUGAAUGUUUCCAAAAAGACAAAAUACAAACUCUUGGUGAAGAAAAAUCCAACUAAUACAAGAAACUAUGAAUGCACAACUGGUAUGGCUGGAGUGUAAUUGAAAUAGAAAUGAUGAAAAGCAACGAGAAUGCAAGAAAUAAAAUGUCAACAUAAGUGUUUGGUGGUUGUAUGUCACUAUGGUGGUUUGUAUGAGGUAAGGGAUGAUGCAUACUAGAGGUGGUGCAAGGGGCUAUAUCUUGUAUGUCUAGAUUUGUACUUUGAGCAAAAUCAUAAUUAUCAAUCAAAUUUAGAAUCAGUUUCCCACUUUUGAGAUUGAGAUCUUGUUUGAUUGAACCCUGCUGCUGCAGAAGUAUUGCACAUCAUGCUGUGGAUGUCAAUUCCAACAUGGUUGUCAUCAUUGAUAUCCCUUUUAAACACAGUGUCUUGGAUUAAAGCAUAACCAAACUGUAAAGGUGAGUUGGGUCCAGGAAAUGCAUCACUCGCCUUACAAACCUGUUUUGUAUGAGUGAACCAAGUAUCAAAAACAGUCAAGGUUAGUUUUUUACUUCCCACUCUAUUGAAUUCAACAUACAAAAGCUAAUGAGGUUGAGAUGACACAAGGAGGAUCAUAACCAUGAACAUAAACAGAAGAUGAGGAAGUAUAAACUAAGUCAAUGACAAGUCUUCUUAUGGUGAUUUCAAGAUGAAGAAAACAUUGGGAUGGAAUAAGUGAUAUUUUAUAGGUGCCUACCCUAUAUAGGAAUGAACCAAAUAUAGUAACUAGUUCUGCACAUGGAUCAGCAGUAAAGUGAAAGAUCCAUAUGCAUAUGAUGCAUGGAAGAUGAACAACCACCUCGCUGUUAUCGUCUACUUUCUCCGGUCACUAUUAUAAGCAAGUAACUCACAAUAAUUGGGACUUUGACUCUCCAAUGAGACUGAGUUAUUCCAAAAGAUAGAUCCAAUGAUCAAAACAUUAGUCUUUUAUCAAGUAUCUUGGUUACAGAAGUAAAUAACUAAAAUUUUUAUGGUAAGGUUUUAAGGCAGUAAUAUGUUUAUGUUUUUGUUGUUUUAUAUAACUUGUUCAUUUAAUUGUUAGAAUUCUACAUAUCAUGUAAAUCAGCUUGCUCUAAUGAACACAAAUUUGGCAAGAUGAUUGUGCAAAAUGAAAGGAGGAAUGAUAUUGCCAACAUUGCUUUCUAUAAGAUGUCACUCUCAAAAUUCAACCAUAGGACACCAUCAAUAACACAAAAUAUACAACCUAAAGUGGUGAGAUUAAUGCACCUUACAUAAAAUAUGGUGAAUGAUCCAAGAAACAUAGUAAAAUGUUUUUCAGACUGCUUUAAAAAAUCUCCAUAUUUAUGUACUCACUUAAGAAUCAACUAAAAAGUGUAUGUGCAACUUCCAUCGUCACUUCUGGCUGUCGGAUCAUAGUUUUCUGCAGAAGGGUCAGCGCAACCUUCUUGGACAGGUAAAGGAACUUGCUGAGCUCCUUGUCCUGCAUCCAAACAAUAAGAUAACAGGAAACUUUUAGUCCAAGUUAUUGUCAAGACCGACGCGGCAUUAUUUGUAAGUCUAAAGCAAAGUUUUAGGUUAUGCCUUUUAAAGAUAAUAACAGGAAAAUCAAAGGACUAACCAUAGAAGUUUCCAGUCUUGAUAGCAUCGUCAUUUGCAUCUCCAAGAGCUGCCUCACUAAGGUAUUUGUCAGCUAAUUGGACCCUCUUCACAUUCUCUUGUUCUUGGACAAGCAUAUUUCCAUACUCUAGUAGUUUGUCAAUAGUCAUCUUUGGUUGCUCAAAAGUUGGAGGUCCCUCUUUUGAAUUCACAAGCCUUUUCCCAAUACUCUCCACACCGAUACCAGAUAUCCAAUUCCUGACCUCAUCGUCAUACACUCUCGCCCUCAAGGCACCAAAAAAAUCUACAAAGAAAUACAUUAAACAUUUGAUUAUUCACAUUUCGUCCAUGUCUCAGACUCGUAUCAUGGUUAAUAAUAAAUAUAACGAUCUUGUUUGGAUAAAAAGACUCAAUUAAGUGAUUAUAGCAUAAGAGUUUAUCAUUGAAGUUCUUGUGCAUGGGCUAUUUUUAUAACAAAGGAUAAAAUAGAGUCAAACUAUGUUCAUAAGCUAUCAUGGAGACUUCAUGAAAAUAAUCUGAAAACCCUUAAAUACAAUCUCAGAUGUGUGUUUGUUAGUAGAAAAAACAGACCCUAGUAACUAAAAAUUUUGACCUGAAACUUAGAUUGAUGUAUGGCUUACCAAUUGACUGUCCAGGGAAUGUGUCGACAAUCUUGACAAUGUCAUCCUUAGGGACACCAUCUGUCCUGAAAAUACCUUGACAGACACCAACCCUAUCGUCACGAGUAGGUGCCCAGUAGAAUUUUUCCAUACGUCCAUCACGAAUUAAAGGAGCAUACAACGUAGAGAAGUCAUUGCCAGUGACGAUGAUAGGGACGCGGGCAUUCUCUUCUUUGUUGUACAUACCGGGAAGUUGAACAUUGGUAGGGUUGUCAGCAAUGUUCAUGAGGGUUGCAUUUACCAUCUGGUUGUUGACUGUGUAUUGAGUAGUGCCACCCAUUCUACCAGCUCCUGCAUCAAGAUCAUUGAUGAAGAGACAGCACAUCUUUCCUUUUCUGAUAAUGUCGGACGCCUCACGGUACCUUUGCCUAAUCAACUUUGCAGGCUCUCCUGCAUUUCCACUUUCCAAUUCUCCGGCACUCAUCAUUAUAGGGCUAAUUUCCAAAGAAGUAGAUCAAAGAGUCAGUAACUGAGUGUCAGUUUCGUCUUAUUUGUACCUACGCCUAAGCCAAGUAUCAUAGUGUGUGUGCGCGCGCACGCGCGUGUGUGUAACAAAUGGAAUUAAACUAACUUGGUUAAUAAGAAAAUGCUAACAUUUGCCUGUCAUUUUUAUUUACCUGAUUCCCAUCUUGGCAAAUACAAGCUCACAUUGAAAUGACUUUCCUUGACCUUUGCCUCCCCAAAUGCCCAAUAUGAGAGGAAUCUUAAUAUUUGGCAAGUUGAGAAAGUUCUUAGUGAUGUGAACAACAAGCUUGUCCAUAAAUGCAGGUGCAAUAUACAAGCCAUCAACUGUGUUGUCCAUAUUGUACCUGAACAUAUCAAAUCGAGAUUCAAAUCGUGAAUCAGAAGACUUACUUUUCAAAUCGUGAAUCCGAUCUUAUUAUGAAUCAUAAGACACACUAUCAAUUAAAAUAUGACAUUUUUAUGUAAGAACAAGUGACAUUUUUAAUCAAAUAAUAAAAGAAAAGUCACUCGUAACACAAUUUUAACAAAAAGGCAGACUACAACAAGUUUAGGUAGUGAUUCAUUAGAAUGAAUGAGAUUCAUCACUGUGAAUUGUGGUUCAUCACAAUGAAUCGAGAUUGAAGAUCAGAUUCAUGUUCAUAAUAGAUAUUUGUAUCAAUUGGAUUUUGUUUUUUAUUGAAUCUAGAUACGACUCACAUAUAUCAUAAGAUACCGAUAACCAUGUACUUAAACAUAAGUCAAUUACCAUUCAACAAGUACAGAAAAUGAAAACACUUCGGUGUUCAAAACCUGAGCUUCAAAUCUUUGUUAACUGAAUUAAGGUGAAAUGAACUUACUGGCGAAGACCAGUACUGAUAUAAUCAUAGGAGCUCAUGACAGCAUAGUGAGUUCCAGCAUCCAUUGGAGCUUGAAAGACACUGUCCACCUUUCCCUUUCCCCUAGUGAUAUCCUGUUGGUCAUCCGAGGUGUCAUAAGCAAGCCCAGCCCAUCUGUCCUUUGAGGUCUGCUUCUCCUCAUUAUAGUCAAUUUUUGCCGAAACCUUAAAAUUACCAGACAAACUCUUCUGGCUGGAAAUCGCAGAUCUCGCUUUCUUAAGGCUUGUUCCAAAAAAUGCUGAAUUUGUCAUAGGAACUCCACUGCUAGAGCCAUUCAAUUUCAACUGCAUACAGUGUUACAGACCGUUAUUAGUCCUCAAUUAACCAUGAACUCUAAAUUGAAUGAGAAUUGGAACAUACUCAGAUGAAAGUAAAUCAAAUACAUCUAUAUAUUUAUAUCCCUAAAAUUCAGGAGGAGUCAUGUUCAUGGAUAAAGACCUAGAGUCAUGGUUUAAAAAAAAAGGUUUGCAGCUGCAAUUUGGACUGUUAUAUCAAGGUUUCUAUGUCUCCGCAAUCACAACUUGGUCGCGAUUGAGGCUGCAUCAGUUGCAUUUUUACUACGAUUCUCCACGAUAUCAAAGAUUACAAUGCGAGUUCUGCCACAAUCUAAAAUCUUACAGAUAAGUGAGCUCACAAUCUACUCCUAUUAACACUCAUACAAAUAGAUACAUAUAGAAGGUGCAUCAUGUAUGUUUUAUAUAGGUCUAUGUAUAAAAUAUACUAUAAAAAAUAAUUGGGAAGGCGAAAAUUAUUAUUAAUUUUAGUGAUAUUAAUGGUUGUUUUACUACCGUGUCCUGAGGGGAUUCGAACUCUAUCCCAUGAGGUUGCAUGGCCAAAUUCUUGCUGCUAAUCUAGCACAUCUUGGACUUAAGAAUGACCUUUUUAUUUUUAUUUUUAUGUAUAUAGUUAUAUACUUAAAAAAUGAGAAUAUUAGAAACAAUAUCAAUAAUCAAAAGCAUAAGUGAAACAACAUAUGUUUUAUCUAUUGACUAGACCAAAGUUUGUUAAGAAAAGCAUUCUACCUGUGCCAUGUUAAUGGCUCCAACAAUUGUCACAGAAGUUGCCAUUAUAUAAUAUGUUAUUGGAAACCAAAACAAGUUUGGUAAGUUUGUUGAAUAUUAAGAAGAAGAAAUGGAACUGAGUUCCAAAGUGAUUGGAUUAAGUUGAGUUGAUAGAAAGAGAGAGGUGAUAGGAAGACUUUAUAGUGUGAUGAAGAAAGUUAAAGCUGAGUGGAGCAUAGAGUGAGUACAUAGAUAUAGAUAGAUGUGGCAAAAAAGAAAAGAAUCUAUGGAUUUAGUUGAGAAUUUAUCAAUAGCCACACAAAUGAAAUUGUCUUUAUUGUAUUAUUAUUGUUAGGUAUUAUUGUUAUAUGUUAUUAUUACUAUGUCUAGUACGUGGCUUUAUAUGUAAUGGAACUUGGUUUUGGAAUAUGGUUUCUGAAUAUACCAUAUGACUUGGUUUACAAACAGAAUGGAAGCUUCUUGUAACUUUGAUUAUUUAAGGUUUGAAUAAUUGAACCUUCCUCCCUCUACUACCACUCAUAUUUUAUCAUUUUAUCAUUAAUUACAAUAUGGAGAAAGGAAGAAAAGACAAAAUCAUACUACAUUAAGGUUUUCCAUAUGAUUGAAAUUAUGGUCGAUUUGAUUUUAACCUUGUACCUUCCUCUUCUAUAGUAAAUCAAACAAUAUCAUACAUAUAAUAAUGGUAAAUUUAAUAGUAUAAAUAUCACAUUUUUUGUUCAUGUAAAAAUGCACCAUUUUAAGAAAUCUAAACAUAUCAUUUUAUUUCCUUCUUUUUUGAUUUCUUUAGUUUGAUAAAUCCUAACACUAUAUUUUAUUAUCUCUUGAUUUCCUUAGUUCGAUAAAUCCUAACGCUGUAUUUUCUUUUCUCUUGAUUUCCUUAGUUCGAUAAAUCUUUUUUUUUUGGUGUAAAUGUAUUUUUUUAUGGUGGUAGUUCGAUAAAUCCCCACAUUAUAUAUUUGUAGGAUUGUAUAAUUAGAAUAGUAAUUUAUUAGGAUUAGUCCCCUAAUAUCAAAAAAGAAGUUUUUUUUUUUUUAUUUUUUUUUUACAAACAUCUAAAAAUUAAUGUUGAAGAAGUUUUUUUUUCCAUACCAUUUAUCAUUUUCAUCACUUAAACUGCAUAUUCUUUUCGUAAAUUUCGAAUUUCACAAAUUAAAACCCAGAUUUUCUCAUCAAUUCUCAAUUUAUUAUACCUUAAUCAAAUUUACCAACAAAUAAAACCCUAAACCUCAAUUCCAAACUUAAAUCUCCUUCCAAAAAAAAAAUAUAUAUAUUCAAACUCCUUCUUCAACUCUCAUCUCUUCCAUCCCAAUACACGACGACGAAGACGGUUGCAGAGGAGGUUCCAUCUUCUGUGAAGAAAUCACAGUAACAUUCGGUAACACUCCUUAAUCCAAUGCACCACUAUGUAAAAAAUCGAAUUUUUUCAUCUUUUUCAUGUUUUCAAACUCUCAAAAUCGUUCCUUUUUCAAUCCAACAAAUGGGUAUGUCUUCAAUUGCUGAUACCCUUUAUACCCAUUUGAAUAAAACCAAUGGAAUCACCAUUGAAAAUGCAUUAUCAAAAACCAAACCAAAAUUGGACUCACAAUGUGUUAUUCAAGUUCUUAAUAAGUGCUUUCCAAAACAGUCCCAAUUGGGUGUUAGAUUCUUCAUUUGGGCUGGAUUUCAAUCUGGGUAUAGACAUAGUGGCUAUAUGUAUAGGAAAGUUUGUAACUUGUUUGAGAUUGAUAAGAAUCCGGAGAUUAUUUGUGAUGUGAUUAAGGCUUAUGAGGUUGAUGGGUGUGUUGUUAAUGUUAACAUGUUUAGGGAGGUUUUGAAAUUGUGUAAGGAAGCUGAGAAUGUUGAUUUGGGUUUGUGGGUGUUGAGGAAAAUGGAGGAUUUUGAGAUGAAACCGGAUACGGUAAUGUAUAAUGUUGUUAUUAAAUUGGUUUGUAAGCAGGGUGAUGUUGAAAUGGGUGAGAAGUUGAUGAAGGACAUGAGUUUGAAUGGGAUUUGUCCGGAUUUAAUUACGUAUAUGACGAUGAUUGAGGGGUUGUGCAGUGCGGGGAGGUUGGAGGAGGCGUAUGAGAUGGUUAAGGUUAUGAGGGGGAAUGGUUGUUCGCCGAAUUCGGUUGUUUUGUCGGCUGUUUUGGAUGGGUUGUGUAGGUUGGAUUCGAUGGAAAGGGCAUUGGAAUUGUUGGAUGAAAUGGAGAAAAGUGGGGAUUGUUGUCCUAAUGUUGUUACUUAUACGUCUUUGAUUCAAAGUUUCUGUAAGAGAGGUGAGUGGACAGAAGCGUUGAAUAUUCUUGAUAGAAUGAGAGCUUUUGGGUGUUUUGCUAAUCAUGUUACCGUUUUUACUUUGAUUGAGAGUCUCUGUACCGAAGGUCGUGUAGAUGAAGCUUACAAGGUGGUUGAUAAACUUGUGGUGGAACAUUGUGUCUCGCGUGGUGAUUGCUACAAUUCACUUGUGAUUUCUUUCAUAAGGGUAAAGAAACUCGAGGGAGCAGAGAAUCUCUUCAAGGAAAUGCUUGCUGCAGAGAUCAAACCUGAUACUUUGGCAUCUAGCCUUUUGCUUAAGGAGUUAUGUUUGAAGGAUAGGGUACUGGAUGGGUUCUACUUGCUUGAUACAAUAGAGAAUAUGGGAUUCUUGUCUUCCAUUGACUCUGAUAUUUAUUCUAUUAUGUUAAUCGGCCUUUGGCAGAAAAACCACUUGACAGAGGCCACGAAGCUUGCAAAAAUAAUGCUUAAGAAAGCCAUUCCUCUGCGACCUCCUUACAAAGACCGCGCAAUUGAUAUCCUAAGAAAAUAUGGAGAAAAAAGAUCCUGUGAAGCAGUAAACCGGCAUACAUAAAGAACUUUGGUCAUAGUGUUAUGAAAGAGGCCGCAUUCAUUCUUUAUCAGCUGCAGCUGGGUGAAUUGGUGCCGCGGCUCUAGUACAUGUGGUGGUUGGUGGCCUGGUAGCUUGCCAGUCCUGGUUUGAAGGAGAUGAUGGAAAAGUUUUGGUGACGAAUCUAACGGUUAGUAGUAAUUGUCCACCAUGGACCACAUAUGGUGGUGGUUGAUGGUAGAGUCCGUCGUAGUUCUAUUAGUAUAUUACCAAUAUCUCACUCAUGUACACUUGGAUAUUCUAAAUUUUCUGUAGUUUGUUAGUCUAUUCAAGUUAUAACAUACUUCAAUCAGAUUCUGGAUCUAUUUUUUUUAAGUUUGAAGAAGAUUGUGUUUCUUGUAGGAGUAUCAUUGUUACCAACAAAAUAAUUAAAAUAAUAUCAUUUCAGUGAAAUACAUACAAAUUUCUGUCUUUUUUUUUUCUUCUUUCUAUUUACUCUCGAUUCUAACAUGGUAGAGAGAGCUUGUUAGUAAUCCAUGGCCAUAUCUUUCAAUCUUAUAGUACCAUUAUUUGUUUUUGAGAUAAUAAAGCCCUGAUGUCGUAAGUCGUGCUUUAUUACCUGGAACUGAUAGAUGAUAGAUUCAGUUAGUUAUUUUCUUUUGGGAUAACUUAAUUUUGAAAGGAAGAAUUGCUGAUAUGAAAUAUUGCUUUUCUCUUGUACAAAAAACUAGACUAGGGAAUGCGAACUUUUACAUACAAUUAUUAUUGUUGAGAUUGAUCCUGCAAAGAUAUUUUGAUAUUAUAUAUAUUUCCGUUACAAGUUAAGUUAUUUUGCUAAACCAAAUUGACACACAUGACACGACGUUGACACCAACAUGUAGACUUCAGUAAUAAUUUGAGAAAAUGGAAGUGAUUGUACGUAACCACAUUGUCAGUGUUGUCUUGGUGUCAGACACUCAGAUACACCUUCUAUUUAAAUGGUCGUAGAUCCUAACCAAUACCUAUGGACGUGUCAAGGAUCAAAAUGUGAUAGUUAUAGAACUCAACAAGCAGUUUGAGGACAAAGUGAUCAAGCACAGGACACAACUCAGAAUGCAUUAGAGUCCGAAGCAAAAUGUAGUAGGAAUAUGGUGUGUUCACCAAAAUGCACUCUCUAAAGCUGUGCAUUUUAGACUAAUUUCCCAUAAAAGAAAAAUCAAAGCUUAAUUUUUUUUAUUGAUAUGUAUGGGCUACUACUUACACAUGUAUAUCAAUAUGUAUAAUUAAAUCAUCUUCAGUUUAUUCUAACUGCCCCAGAAUAAAGAAAACUGGAUGCAUAGAAUAAAAUGUGGAAAAGUAUGCACAAGCAAAAAAAAUUGUUUUCUGAAAAUUUUAAGUUCGUGCUCUAACUAAGUCAAUGGCAUAGUUGUGGUUCAUUUUUAUUUGCAUCUGGCUCAUGGAAUAUAAGUUAUUGUUCUUGAAGUAAGAAGCUAAAGACCAGCAAGAAACAUGAAAGGUACUUUUUCAUGGUUACUCCUAUGUAUUAAUAUUUAAGUUCAAAGUUGGUAACAGAACACAAUGUAUGCCAUCAUGUUCCCUUUACUGGACCUCUUUAUUGAUCCUUGUGUUCUUUUAGGUACUAGAAUUUUAUAUUAGUGGCCGGUAGUAUAGAACUUUCACCAUUCUUUGCUGUGUUGAGUUAUAAGUUAGUUUUUGAACAUUCUUAUAAUUGUGAAACUGUAUGAUCUGUUGAAGCAAUAUUUUGAUCAUUUGUUCCUCGCCCGACAUGAUUUUUCAUAGUUCGGCCUCUAUUUCAGUUUCUGAGAUUCAGAUUUGUGUCUAUUAUUGUACUUAGAUAAGAACAAAACAAAUCGGUGCAAGAAAAGAGAAAACUGUAUAAUGACCAUUCAAAAUUGAAUGGAACAACAUACAUCAUAGGAGUUUAAUAGAAUUGAUAUUACUUGCUCUAGCAACUCAAUUUUAGUUGUACAGACACCAAUUUCUAGAAAACUUUUGUCCAUUUACAACCAACUCUCGAACUAAUAUUUAUUCGAACAUGAUGGUUAUUUUAAUGUGAUUGCAUCCUACCUCUUGAACUGAUAUUAUUAUUUAAGAUAUAAAGAGGGAAUGAGUGAUUACUUAAUUGAAGAUAGCAUGGUUGAGUACUUGAAUUUUAUCAUAUACCAUUCACUUGGAAGUGGUUCUUAUGAUGAUUAGCAAAUUAUUUGAAGUCUAAUGCUUAGUGUUAGCUUUUGACUUUCAAGACGUGGUAAUAUAUUUUGGUAUUUACUCUAAAAAACCUUCGAAGCAUUAAAAGCUUGCUUGGGCUCAUAUUUUGUAAAAUCUGAUAAUUUUUUGGGGGUUCAUUGAUGUCUUAAUACAAAAACAGAAAAGCAAAAUGAUUUUGAUGGAGAAGAGGACUUGGAUAACGUUUCUGUAUCAGAAUUAGGGGAAAUCAAUUUGAUUCUAUAUGAUUUUAUUUUAUUAUCUUUGUUUUUAUUUUGGAUUCUGACAUUGUAUCAUUACUAUUGUAAUUUGAUUUCCUAUAUGAACUAUUUAAAAUUGUAGUAACAAGACAUGAGUAUUAUUCCAUUACUUUGUUAAUGGUAUCAGUAGCGCUAGUAUUAUUACUUUGCUUAGCAUGCGAGAGGCACGGGGUUCCAUUUCCCGCCCGCAACUCCAGGAUAUCUAAUUAGUGUCCUGAAUAGGUAGUUCGGUUGGUGAGCUAAGGGACAUUGAAAGAGAUUUAAGAAGGUCCCAAGUUCGAUCUCCAUAACUAACACUCUCCCGCUCCCCUCUAACAAUUACUAACAACUAACAUUUUCCUAUAAAAAAAAUAAAAAAAAAUAAAAAAAAAAGUAGCUCUAGGUUAAGGUUCUACUAUUAAGUGGUCUACAGCUUCUCUACGAUCCGUAUUUUGACCCCCUAAUGGUGUACGCUAAUGUGUGGAAGAGAACAACAACACCAGAUAUGCUGUUAAAGACGACUUUUAUGAGUACCGGUGAUAGUGGUGGGCAGCUGCAGCGGCCCUGGAGUUCCAGAUGAUGGCAGCUGGGGCAGUUUCUUUUGGCAGCGGCGGUCUCAACUCUCAACAAUGAUUUGUCUUUUUUUUCUUUUUUCUUUUUUUCAUAAGGGAGCUUCAAAUACCCUUAAGGUCGAGGUUCAUUGUCUCAACAGGAAAAAAAAAAUCAUGUGGAGUGGUUCCAAACCGUUUGAACAUGAGCAAAUUUUAUAUAUUUAGGAUCCAAUUUAUACACCCAUUAGAAAAAAAAAUUAAAAUUUUUAGGGACCUAUUUACAUUUUUUGAAAAUUUAGAUUUUACAUGAAUUUAUAAAAAAUUAAAAAAAAAAUACCAAUUUAAUUUUUCUUUUAAAAUGUAGGGAUCAAUUUACAAAGUUUGAAUUUUAAUCAAGAUAAUGUGUAAAUUUUUAAACAUAUAAGAACCUAUAAUCUAAAAUAAUUAUAGGACCAAUCUUAGAUUCACAUUGCAUACAAUAAGGAAUUAUUAUUUUCAAAUUCUUAGUUGAUUAUUUUUUGAAAGCAUUGUAUCCGGUUAAUGAUCGUCUAAUAUGAGGAUUCGAGCCCGAUAACUAAAAAAAACAUAAUUCGUGGUUUUAGAUCUACACACAAAAACAUAUGGUAUUUGAAAUUUUCAAGGACGUAUCCGGGGAAUACCGGGUUCGAUUCCCUGUGGAAUAAUACUUGGUCAGUGCGCAUGUCUCUACGCAAAGUCGAAUUAGUCACUCACCUUUGGUUGGUCGGAAACCGGUGCGAAAGCCAAAAAAAAUACCUCAUGAAACUAUUCAUUUUAAACUUUGAAAUUUACCAUCCAAACAAUAAAAUUUGCGAGGAAGAAUUUGAAUUACAUUAAGAAAAUCCCCCUAUCCAAAGAGACUGGUAAGGAUUUAUUUUAUUUUUCAGAAUAGAAAUUUCCCAGAAUAAUAACAAAAAUAAUAAUAGUUUAUUGUGUCCCCUAAAAAAAAGUCUCUUAUGCAAUCAAGAUUCUUUUAAAAAUCAGAUAUCGUUAUCAUAUCAGUGUAUCCCCCACUUACAUACAAAAUGUUAUCAUCAAAAUGCACAUAAUAAUUGGUGGCAUUUCACAUAGGAAAGGUCAAUCUUUUUCUACCAUAGGAAAGUUGGAUUCAAAGAUUAGAUUAAGUGAAGAACAUAUUCUUAACAUGCACUUUCAACACUAAAUUUUUCUUUACGCUAUCUUUCAACAAUUUUAAAAAUUUUGAAAAUUAAUUUCCAAAAAUUAAAAAAAUCGAAAAAAAAAUUCAGAUAAUUUUUUUUUUAAAUUCUGUAAUUCAUUUAUUGAAUGUUAGAAAAAAAUUUGAAAAAUUGAAAAUUUAUUUAUUUAUUUUUCAAUAAAAAUAAAAUUCUUGAAACUAAGAUAAGUUUUUAUUUUUCUAAUUUUUUUUUAAUUUCGUAAUAAAAUGAGAUAUUCUGAAAAAUAAAAUAAAAAUCCUAAUUUUUUUUUAAAAUUAAAGUUUUUUAUUUUUAAAAUAAAAUUCUGGAAAAUAAGUUUUUUAUUUUCAAAAAAUAUUAUCUAAUUUUUUGUUUUUAUUUUGAAAAAAUCUUUUUAGAAUGUUUGAACACCGUUAAUAAUUUGAAAAAAUCAUAUAAUUCGGUGCAAUUAUAUGUAUCGGUGUCAUGUCGAUGUCGGACAUAACACGCGUCCAACAGUCCAACACUAAGACACGUUUAAUCUGAGAAAUGCCGGUGCUUCAUAGUGUAUAGAUGAAUCUUUGAUUUAAAAUAAUAAAAAGAAAAGAAGUGUAACAAUUUUUUCAGUGUGAAACUGAAUUGGAUAUCACUAUCAAUGGGAAAGACAUAUAGAUUGUGUUAGAGACGCUACGUUGACAUGUCCGUGUGGGGUAUUGACUUGAAAUCAAUUAUGUGACCCCAAAAAUCAAAACAUAGAAUGUCUUUGAUGAAUCUUUGGAUCGUUGAGGGUACUAUGCUUAACCAAAAUCAUGAAUUAUUUGUACUUCUCACUCAGUCAAGGUCACAAAGAAUUAACAAUUCAACUAAACUAGUCUUUUAUGUGUGUUGGAGUGUUCUUGUGUUCACAUUCAUUUUUUUUGUACUUGUAGUACAUAGUCAAGAGACUAAAUGCAUUUGAUGGAACCCACUAGUGAGGAAGUUAAUCAAGCUUAUAUGAUUAAGAAGUGGAAUUAAAUGACACUUCUCAAUAUUUUAUUGGAGUGGAAUUGAGUGAAAUACAAGAAAAUAAAAAUAAGUUUAUAUUUUAUUGUUUAAAUGAAUAUUUGAUCAAUUAAUUAAAUGACACUUUUCCAUUCUUAUGAAAAACCCCUCGCCUUUUUUUUCUUUUAUGUAAGUUAUAUGAUAUUAUUGUUCUCACAUAGUUCAUUAAUAACACUACAACAACUAUAAAUCUAAUGAGAAUGCCAAUGAAUGUCCUAAGAGUAUUGAUAAAAAAAAAAAAAAAAAAAGUAACUUUGUAUAAAACAAUAGGAAAUUGUAUGGUGAUGUCAUGAGAAUGACUUUUUUGGUGAAGUUAUCACUAUAACAUCAAAAAUUUAAUGAAUAACAUCCAACUUUUUGUACAAUAGCAUCAAAAGUCCAGUCCUCAUAGUAUCAUCAAUUUAUCAGAUUAACAAGACUACAUUUAAUUUAAUUUUAUCAUACCUUGUUAUAAGCGUAACACCCCACAAAGUGUAAUACUUAAGACUAUCACAUAAUAUCAUCAACUUUGUUUGCAUGUUAAAGAUUACAACGAUAAAAUAAUAUUUGUAAGUUCAAGAUGUUGCAAGCAUUACUAGAUGAAUUACUAUUGAUCAUUAAUCAAUAAUCAACAAUUUAAAAAUGAAUCAAACAUUAAAAUCAAAAUUAACUUUUUCAAAAAAGUCAGUUUUCUGACUGCACCGUAGAAGCUCCCAACAAAAAAUAUUGUAAUUAUUACCAUUGUUAAUGAGAUAUUUUAGCAAUGUACGCUCUUCUCACACUCGUUAGUUAGCAAUUACGGUGUCAGGUGUGUUAGUUUUGCUAAAAUACAGGCUCGUUGAAAUAAAAGGAGAUGGAUCAAUUUAAUAGAGACUACAAAAUAUAUAAUAAAUUCAAAACAACAUUAUUUGGAGCAUGACACUAUAUUAUUUUAAGGACAAAACUUAGGUACCGUUACAUAGGUCCAGUUUUUACUGUUCACGAAUUAUAAUGGGACACCUGGAAUAUUUAAUUAUAUUAAAUUAGAUAGAUGAUUUAACGUCGUUAAUUCCUUUCCGUCUUCGUCGUGUAAUUCUCUGUGAUCCAUUAUCCAUCACAAUCUCCAUCCUCAAUGUUGCCAAAUAACCACCGCUAAGAACUGACUGUGUAACAAAUAUCUAAUCUCUAGGUAUAAAUAACUCUCAGAAAGCAAAAUCUCACCCCUCAAUGAAAGAAAGGAGAAAAAUUAGAUGCAUGAAUUUUGGACAGAAACAUGAAAUUAAGAAACUCCAAAUGGGAGGGUAUGGAAGAUCUUCUCUUAAACAAUUGCAGAUGACAGAUAUUUUGUUGGAUUAUAUGAGAAUUUGUUGUCAAUUUUUUGUCUAUCAUAAUAAAUCAAGGAGUCUGGGCUUUUAUCAUGUCUGAUGCAUAUACGUUGGUGUUGGUGCCCUGAAGAGAGAGGGUAUGGAUGAUUAACAAGGGGAAAAUAUAUGGCAGAGUAGUAUGUUGAUUCUCGAAAAAGUUCAAAUCAACAAGGAAGAGAAGUUCCCGCUGCAGUUCAAGAGGAGAUGGAAGAAAACAGUAUCGAAACAAAACGUUAAUUUCUUAAGAGCUUAAGUGUACAAAAUAAUUGACGUGUCAUGUGUUGAUUGGAGAACAGCACCUACAGCAUGUAGGGUACUGUAACUAAGUUUUAUCCUUAUUUUAAGUUCACGUCCCAAUCCAUAAGUGGCAACACUCCAUAGCUGAAUCUACGUAGGAACAGGGUUUAAGUCCACACGGUCUUAAUAUAAUUAGAUCACUCUUACACCAAUAAAGAAAGCAUAGUAGUACUCUUGGAAUGUACAUCAACAAUAAAUUAGUUCAUCCCCUAAAAAAUAUAUUAGUUCAAAUUAUAUAUAAUCUAUGUGAACUUUCUAACUGAUCUAUUAGAUAGAAGAUUGACACUUAGGUAUGCGGAUGUUAUGAUGUACGUAUGGGUAGGAGGAAAACAUGCAUGUGUGUAUUUAUCGGGAGUUUCACCAUUUGUGAGACUAAAGGUCGUGGCUUUUACGGUAGAACAAACAGCCAUAAAAGCUACGAUUAACAAAGUGUCCAAACAUGAAACACGAGAAAACGUGUUCUGACUAUCAACAUGCUUUUAUAUCAUUUGCUUUUGACACUUUGAGCUUCAUAGCACUAGAUGUUGUUAACCUUUUACAUAGAGUUCAAAGGGUAAUGCAUAGCAAUGUCAUGUCUCCUAGAUCAUGAAUGUUCUGUUACAUAGAUUGAUUUUACCUUUCAAAAAGGUCUAGCGACACAACUUGUUGUCUUUUUAUCUUCUAUUCAUGUGUAAGUAAUCAUUGAUAUAUGUAAAUAGAAUGAUAUCAUAUGCAGAAUUAUAAUAGGGUUGACAAUGAACCGAACCAACUCGAUUAAAGUUUUGAUUCGAUAAUUGAUUCGUCAAACUUGGUUCAUGAACCAAAUGAGCCGAACUUGAGCUGAAAAUUAAGUUCGUCAACUAAUUGAGCUGAACUUGAGCUAUAUGUAGUUCAACUUGUAACGCCCACUUUUGUUAAUUGUUUAUUUAAUCGAGUUUAGGUGAUUAUAUUAUAUUUAUAUAAUAUAUGCAUGAUUUUGGUAUGUUUUGAUGAUUUACGAUGAUUUGAUCGAUGACGUGAUAAGUUAUGAGUUUUGGAAGAUUUGAUAAGGAAUAUGAGAAUUAUUUUAUUGUUAAAUGAAAUAAAGAUUUGAAAAUAAUAUAAAAUAUUUAGUUGAGGGCUGUUUUGAUAUUUUAAAUAGUUUUGGGGGAGAAAGUGAGAUAAGAUAAGUAAUUAAGAAGAGAUAUAAAUAGGAGAAGACCUAAUAUUUUAGAAACUCAUUGUACGUGAAAACUUUUGGAAAAGGGAGAAAAAGCUUAGAAGGGAGAAGAGCUUAGAGAGGGCUGCGAUUUCUUCAUAACCAGGUAAGGGUGAGACUAAUAAUUCAAGGGUUAAUAGGGGUUUACCCCCCUGCCAUUUGGGGUACUUUUGGUUUACCCCCCCACAAAAAAAAAACUUGUAGAUUCCCACUUGUAAUAUGAAGAUUCCUUGGUUUACCCCCCUACACCCAAUAGUCAGCAUAUGACUGGAUAAAAACGGUGACGUGGUUGUCUGACUAGGUAUUAUUUUUUUUAAUUUCCACCUAGAUUAUUAAACACCAAAAGUCCAAAAAUGUUCUUAUUGGCAUACACCCCUGUCAUUUCCCCCAAAACUUAAACCUAAUUUCAAAAACUGAGAAGAACAAAGGGAGGGACGAAGAACAAAGGGACGAACAAAGAAAUAGGGUUUUCCUUUCUCGAAAUCGAAAUUGAGAACAAAGGGAGAAGGGACGAACGGAAGAACAAAGGGUUUUCGUUUUAUUGGCAUACACCCCUGUCACUUUCUUGAAAUCGCUAAUUUCUCCAGGUAGAUUUCUGCGAUUCGAACCAAGAUUUCUGGGUUUUUGAGAUUUCGAAGCAAGAUUACUGCAAAUCUGGGAAGCUGCGAAUCCGCGAGCAAGAUUACUGAGACCUUUCGAACUCGAUUUAGGGUUUCUGCGAAUCUGGUGACGAACGGAGAAAGAGAAAUUGAAGGGAACGACGAAGGUUGGAGACGAAGCUUGUGGUAAGUUUACUGAUUCUCUCUUUUUCUUUAUGCAUGCGUGUCUCUUUGUUGUUACUAUUUGUAGAUGGUAAAGAAAGGAAAAAAUGUAUGUUGUGGUCCCAAAAGUCUGAUGCUAUAUUCCAUUACUGUCUCUUUGCAUGCGCAAAAGUUCGAAUUUUAGGGUUUAUUUAUUGAAGCUUUUUGUUUUUUCUGAGUUGUUUAUAUAAACCUGGUUUAAACCAAUGGGUUGCAGACACGUGUCAAUCUGAUUUUGAUAAAAAAAUAAUUUUUUUUUACCAUAGAUAAUGGGUUUGUUUGAUGUUGUUUUCCAUCAUGGUGGGGAGUUUGUUAUGGAUAAACGUAUUUUUUAUAGAGGUGGUGUACAAACUGUUGUGUCUGGUAUUGAAAGUAACAACUGGGGUGUGUGUGAUAUUCAGAAUAUUGUGGCUUCUUGGGGAUAUGAGAAGAAUAAGUUUAGGGUAUGGAGUCAAAUUGAAGUGGUUUUUGAAGAGUUUUUUCAAAUCAAUCAGGACCAUAUUGCUGAGGAGAUUUCUGGGUAUUCAGUUGCUAAUAAAGUACAUGCACAUAUCUUUGUUGAGCACAAUGUGUUGGAUAUAACUGUCAAAGUAGAUGUACCUAGUUUUUUAGAUUUGGAUGCAGGGUAUGAUAAGGAAGAUGUUAUGGUUUGUAGUGAUGAUGAUGGUGCUGCAGUUGUUGGGUUUAAUGAUAGUGAGGAUGAAAGAACCACUGCACUUGAAGAUGGGUUUGAAGAAGUUGAAGUUGAAGCACCUGUUAAUGGUACCAACAGAGUCACAGUUAACAACAAAACAUUAAGGAUCAAGAAGUGUGGUUCCAAAACACCUAAGAAAAAAUCUCCUAAGAAGAAUAAUAGUGGUAGGAUGAAUGUGGUUGCACCAGUGUCUCUUUUAAAGAAUGGGGAAGGGAAGGAUGUUGUAGAUGAAGAAAUAGAUGGAGAUUACCUUAGUGAAGAGUUGGGUAGCUCAGACCCUGAUGACUCAGAUGAUGACACAAUUAAAUAUCAGCAGUUUAGGAUGGUACAAUUAAAUAAGGAUUUUAAGUUCAAGGUAGGUAUGGAAUUUAAUACUCUGGUAGAGUUUAAAGAAGCAAUUAUUGAGUGGAACGUAUUAAAUGGUUACCAAAUUAAAAUGCCAAAAAAUGAAAGUUAUAGGGUAAGGGUGGAGUGUAGGGACCAAUGUGGCUAUAAGGUUUUAUGUUCAAAGGUGGGGGACAGGAGGACUUUUCAGAUAAAGACAUUUGAGGGGCCCCACACUUGUGCACCAGUGUUGGAAAAUAAAAGUUCCAACUCAAGAUGGGUUGCUAAGAAAGUUGUGCCAAAAAUGCAAGUUACCAAAAAGAUGAGUGUACAAGAGGUAUACAAUGAAAUGGCUGUUAAUUAUGGUGUGGGUAUUACCAUGGACAGAGCAUGGAGAGCAAGGAAUAUUGCAAAGAAAAUAAUUGAGGGUGAUGCAGAUAAGCAGUAUGCAAUGAUAUGGAGGUAUGCAGCUGAGUUGAAGAGAGUGUGUAGGGACAAUAAUGUCAAGAUAAAUGUUGUUGGUCCUUCUGCAACUAUUCAACCAAGAUUUGGGUCUUUUUAUUUCUGUUUUGAUGGGUGUAAGAAAGGGUUCACAUCUUCUUGCAGACCCUUUGUUGGAGUGGAUGGUUGCCACUUGAAAACAAGAUAUGGGGGCCAACUGUUGAUUGCUGUAGGGAGAGACCCAAAUGACCAGUACUUUCCACUAGCUUUUGGGGUAGUUGAAACUGAGUGCAAGGAAAGUUGGAAAUGGUUCAUGCAGUUGCUGAUGGAAGAUAUAGGUCAAGAUAAGAGAUGUGUUCAUAUCAGAUCAACAAAAGGUAUGUUUAGAUCUAUUCAUGUUUCAUCUAUAUAUGUAUUUAAUGUUUUAGAUCUAAUGAAAUCUAUAUUUAUUUAUUGUUUCCAAUCUAUAUUCAGAUCUAAAUUUAUUUACUGUUAUGCAGGGGUUGUUGUCAGUUUUUGAUGAGAUGUUUGAUAGUAUUGAUCAUAGAUUGUGCCUGAGACAUUUGUAUGCAAAUUUCAAGAAGAAGUUUGGAGGAGGCAGUCAAAUAAGAGAUUUGAUGAUGGGAGCUGCAAAGGCAACUUACUAUCAAGCAUGGUUGGAAAAGAUGAAUGAACUAAAGAAGAUAGAUCUGGGAGCUUGGGAAUGGUUAAUGGCUGUAGAACCAAAAAAAUGGUGUAAGCAUGCUUUUACCUUUUACUCUAAAUGUGAUGUACUGAUGAACAACAUAUCUGAAUCCUUUAAUGCCACAAUAUUAUCUGCUAGAGAUAAACCUAUUAUUAGUAUGGCUGAAUGGAUUAGACAUUAUCUAAUGAGAAGGAUGACAACAUCUGCCACUAAACUUCAAAAGUGGCAACAUAAUGUCAUGCCUAUGCCUAGAAAAAGAUUAGAUAAAGAGAUAACCUUAGCUGCUCAUUGGACAGCAACUUGGUCUGGAAUAGGUGAACAAUUUCAGGUUAUACAUUUAUAUAACCGUCAGCAAUUUAUUGUUGACAUUGCAAAAAGGAGUUGCAGCUGUAACUUUUGGGAGAUAGUGGGAAUACCUUGCAGACAUGUUGUUGCUGCACUUGGGCAUAGGAAACAAAGGCCUGAACUGUAUGUUGAUGAUUACUACUCUAGGAGUAAGUAUGUCAUGUGUUAUAGUUUUGCAAUUAGUCCUAUUAAUGGUAUGGAUAUGUGGCCUGAGGUAGAGGCUCCUGAACUUCUACCUCCAGAAUAUAAGAAUGGACCAGGAAGGCCUAGAAAGCUUAGGAUUAGAGAGUUUGAUGAAAAUGGAGCUAGGAUGAAGAGGCAAGGGGUGGCAUAUAGAUGCACAAAAUGUGAUCAAUUUGGACACAAUCAAAGAAGAUGCAAGAGUGCUGUUCAGAAUCCAGAGGCUGCAAAAAGGAAGGUAUAUUAAUACAUCUUAAUGUUGAAUAAUUAUACUUAAUGAUUAUGUACAAAUUAAUAUAACUUAUGUUUGUUUAUGUUGUAGAGGAAAACACCAAGAAGGAAGGCCGCUUCAAAUGCACCUGUGCAAGAAAGUACACCUGUGCAAGAACCAACAAUGGCUCAUGUAUCUGCUUCUCAACCAACAGUGCCUCAUGCAUCUGACACACACUCAACAAUGCCUCAUGCACCUUCUUCUCAACCACUAAUGCACACUGAACCUGUUCAAAGACCACCAAAGUUGACAUCUGUUCAAGGACCAUCAAGGUUCACAUCUGUUCAAGGACCACCAAUGGAAGUUGCAAAAUUAGUGCAUCAGAACAUUCACCUUGAACGUCCAUUCAAGAUACAAAAAGUUUCCAGUUCUAAUGCUACUAAUACUGUACCAGAAAAAAUUGUUACUGACUUUUAUAAUGCCCUUCCUGCAUCACAGAUUGAAAGUGGCCUUGGGCCAGAUGUGUUUGAUGAUCCGGAUGACCAUGUGUUAGCAGCCAUCACUGAUCAAAUGUUUGAUGCAGCAGAAAACAAAUUUCAGAUUUUGAAUAAUGAGAAGGAUGUGAAGAACUUGAAUGAACAGAAACUGAAGACCUUGGGGUUGAAGAAACAUGUAAGACCUAAAAAUAGUAGGAAGAGCACCAGGCUGAUGAAAUUGAAGACCAAGGCAAUCAAAGGUGCUGGUUCCAGCAUUGCUGAACCUAUGGUCAUUGAAGAGUCUGAAGAGGGAACCUUGACUCAGGAGAAUGAUGGUGUCAUAAAAAGUGGGACAUGUAUGGAAGUGUUAAGAGGCUUACCAAAACUGGUUAUGAGAGCCUCCAAGCCUAAUUAAACAAGUGAUUUUGGUUUUAUGCUUGUGUUUGUCUAAGUUCAGUUUAAGACUUAUGCACUAUAAGUGCUUUUGGUUGUAUGCUUAUGUUUGUCUAAAUUUACUUUAAGACUUAUGCACUAUAAGUGCUUUUGGUUUAAAACUUAUGCAUUAUAAGUGCUUUUGGUUGUAUGCUUAUGUUUGUCUAAGUUUACUUUAAGACUUAUGCACUAUAAGUGCUUUUGUUUAAGUUACAGACAUAUGCUUAUGAAAUGCCAUACGCACUUUAAGUGCUUUUCAUUAUUGCUUAUGUUAUGGCCUGUUUAGAAUGAUGCAAAGAUCACUUCAAACUUUUUUAUAGAUUACUAAAGGAGUUACAUUAGUUGCUGAGAUAAACAAAAACAUUAAUGCUGAAAACAAUUACAUUAACUUGAAAACAAUUACAAUGACAUUAAUCAUAACAUUACAAUGACAUUAACUUGAAAACAAUUACAUUAACUUGAAAAUAACUGAGAACACAAUCCAAGACACAGCUAGCGCAACAAUGAGGCCUAAAUUUUUCUUCUUCUCAGCUUCAAACUUCAUUUUCAACUUCUCAUGUUUCUUUGCACUUAUUCCUUUUCCAUCUUCUUUUCCACGUUCUAUGCCAUAUUCUUUUCCAAACUCUUUUCCAAACUCUUUCCCAAAAUCUUUGCCAAAUUCUCUCAAAAACUCCAUUGUCAUUACACAGCUGUUGCAACCAGAUUCAGACUUCAAACCAGAAGAACAACCUAGGUCGUAGUACUUUCCAGAUUUUUUUACAAAUUCAUCAAGUUCAUCAUCCCAAAUGAACAGCUCGCAACUAUACUCAGCCUACAAUAAGUUCCAAGUUAUAGGUUUACCAACUAUUACAAACUGCAGAUGUAAGCAAAAUUUUAAACUCACACAAAAUUAACAUCUAAAAUAAAUAAAUAAAAUCACUUACUCCAGAAAAUCGACAUCUCCAAAACUUUCUCUUGGGAUUUUCAUCUGUGUUUGAAAUCCACAUCUUCAUAACCUUCUCACAACCGCAGAUUGGUGGUCUGUUUCCAUCAUGGUUACUAAUUGAUGAAGUUCUGCUUCCACCCAUGAUAAACCCUAAUUUCUUCAAUUAAGUAGGAUAGGAGAGAUAGAUAAUGAGGCAACGUUCGAAACAGAAGAAAGGUGACAAGGAAGGAAAGAAGAAAGGAAGAAGAUAUGGAGAAGAAGACAGAAAUUUUGAUGGAGGAAGGAAGAAGAUAGAGAUGGUACGAUGGAUAAGGGUCAAAUGAAGAGAUGUUAUAUGCUUUCUUUUUUAUUUAAAUUUAAUUAGUUUAAUCUAGGUGGAAAUUAAAAAAGAUAAUAAAUAAAAAUAAUACUUAGUCAGACAGCCACGUCACCGUUUUUAUCCAGUCAUAUGCUGACUAUUGGGUGUAGGGGGGUAAACCAAGGAAUCUUCAUAUUACAAGUGGGAAUCUACAAGUUUUUUUUUUGCGGGGGGGUAAACCAAAAGUACCCCAAAUGGCAGGGGGGUAAACCCCUAUUAACCCAUAAUUCAAUAACGUUGAUUGUUGUAAUUCUGAUGAUUAAUUGACAAAGUUAGGAUUGAUUUUGAAAAGUUUUGGAAUUAGGUCAAAACCCUAAAAAUUGAUGAUCAAACGGUAAAACUUGAUUAGAUUGAUGUAGAAACCGUCCUAUAACCUUAGAACAUGUUUAGGAUGGAUUAUGGAAUCAAAAUUAGGCUUUGAACCAUGUUAUUUGAUGGAUUUUCGAGAAAACCCGUAUUCUGCCCGAGCUUCUGUUCAUCGCUCGCCACGCGAGCCCUUUCCCUUCGCCUCGCGAGUGAUUCUGGUAUCGCUCGCCACGGCGAACAACCCUUCCUCGCCUCGCGAGCUUAGGCAGAGAGCAUGUUAGAUUUUGUGUUUCGACCUUUUUAGUUGGACCUUGAGUGCCUUUGAGUGCCUGAACAUACCUAGUAUUGAUUAUGAAUGAAUGUAGGAUCAGAUUGAACCCAGAACAACACUAGUUUGGGAGAUGAGUGGUACUCGCCAUGGCGAGUAAGAACUCUCGCCUCGCGAGCACAACCAGAAUGUAGUUGCUUGAGUGUUUGUGCGUUCUGUGUCGCCCGUGCUGAUCAAGAGGGAACCCCUAAUUGGUAAUGAAACCUAGUGAUGACGUUUAAUGUAAUCUGUAAAGCCUUUUAAGACAUGUUGUCAUUAAUUGAACAUGAACUAAUGUAUUGUAUAUUCAUGCAAGAUAUGAAAGUUUAAUUAUGAUGCAAAUGAUUUGCUAUUGAUAUAAUGAUAUCAUCUUGUUAUGUGACUUGUUUAUGCUGCUUCCGUUAUUUAACUAAGUGCAUAUGGUAUAUGAUGAAGUUUAGCUCCAAAUUAUUGGAUGCAUGUUGAUAUGUUGAUUACGGUGUUUUGUUGUUAAGAGUCCAUGCAUAGCAUAUCAUUGAGCUUAGUCCUCACCACGUUUAUUAGGAGCUUUGUCCUCCGCACGUUUAUUAGGAGCUUUGUCCUCCGCACGAUUAAAGUAUAUUAAUACUUAUGAUGACGAUUGGUACCACAUGCAUAUAAGGAGUCUAAGAGCAUUGUCACAUUGUCAUGAUUAAGAUGCCUUGUUGAUAAUGAUUGAAUAUGUGAUUACGUGAUAAGUGUUUAUCAAUUAUGUUAUGUUGUUCCUGAUAAUUGGAUAUAUGAUUACGUGAUAACUGUUUAGCAAUUAUGCAGUGUUGUUAAAGAAAUGAUUAUGAUGUUAAUUUAUGAUUCGCAAUUACAUUGAUUAAUGUUAUUUUGUUAUGAAAUCUCACCCCUUCUGCUUGAAAAUGUUGCCCUUCGUAUGGGUAACUUGCAGGUGAUCGUGCUUAGUGUGCAGUUGCCGUCGUGAGUGGCCUUGCCUUCUCUGUGUCGUCUAGGUCGCUCUGAUACGUAACGGGAUGAGGUUUAAUGUUAUACAUGCUUCAUUCUCUUACGUGAUUAAUAUGUUAUUUUUAUCAUGUUAUCGAUUACGAUAUGAACUGUUUUGAUGGGGCCUACGUGCCAAACUGAUUUAUGAUUUCCGAACUAAUAUCCCGCUGCUAUGUUAAGAUAUUAUAUGAAAGUUAAAUUAUUAUUUAACUGUUUUUGGAUUACGUUUCUAUGUGAUAUCCCGUUUAUGGUUUUUACUCUGAUAAAUGUUUAAGAAAUUUGUAUAUUGGGAAAAACGGGGUGUUACACAACUCGUUUGGUUCACGAGAUGACUCGAUUAUAUAUAUAUAACACUUAAAAAAAUUAAAAUUUAUAGAUAAUUGAUCAUAUAUAUAUAUAUAUAUAAUACUUUAAAAACUAAGACAACCACUUAGCAAUAAUAGGAUAAAGGUGAGCUACAUUAAAAUUGAUAGACAACGCCUUGCACUGUGUUGAUGUAGUUUUUAAAGAUUUUAAAACUAAAAUAGUUCGGCAUAGGAACAUGCAUGAAAAAUGGAAGAUAUAUGAUUAUCUAUAAUAAGAGAAUUAUAUGACACCAGAAGGCAAAACUAGAUUUGGGGGUUACAUACCAGUGUUAAACUACAUUUGUUUGACUCUUUGAGGGGUGACUUCUUAAUACAUCUUGUACUUAGGAGGUUUCACCGCCUUUGUUAAUAUAUACCAUUUUUGUUUCUUCAAAACAAAAUAAAAAUUACUAUGUGUAAUAAUAGUCUAGUCCAACCCAUUAAAAAUUGGUAUAAAUUCCAAUAUAUUUUAUAGAUAAAACAUUUAAAUUCUUUGACUUUUGAGUUACAUGGUUCAAGUGGCUUUACUUAUUUUCAUACAUUAUGUUCUUUGAACAAAUGAAUUGAACUCAAUGAGCCGAACCAAACUGUUUGUGAACUUUAAGCGAGUCGAACUCGAGCUGAAAAAAAAAAAUUUGUCAAGCUCGAAUCAAGGUUCGCACCAAGUCAAUUCUUAACGAGUCAAAUAGGUUCGAUUCGACUCGGCUCAUUUCCAGCCCUAAUUAUAAGGGAUAGUUUGAAACCUUCAAUUAAAUAAUCAUUGGUUCUGUUAAUGACUUUCCAAACGAAAAUUAUUGACUAGUAAACAAGGAUAGAAAUAUUAAGGUAACUAAAAAAAAAAAAACACUCUCAAAAUGUACUAUAUAGUAGUAUAUUUUUGUAAUUUAUUAUUAAAUUAAUCAUAAGUAUAUCACAUCGUUUUCAAAUCUUGUGAAUGUUUGUCAAAAAAAUCUUGUGACAUGUUUGAUAAGAUUAAAGACUAGGCUCGUUACGUUCUUUCAUUGGGCACUCGUACGCUUCCUGGUAGGUUCGUUCCUAAUAAACCGUGAAACAAUUUGUUUUUUUACAAGCCAUGAAACAAUUUUUUAUUUGGGUUAAUAAGUUUCUUUUGUCAUUAAAAAUAUAUCAAAUUUUUAUAUAAGUUUGUCUAACAUUUGCAAUAUUGCACAUGUUAAAACAACUAAAAAUAGUAAUAUUUUAUUGGAAAAUAUCAAUUAUUUAUUGAAAAGUUAUAAAUUUAAUAUAAAAUACACAAGUUUUAAAAAAAAGUGACCAUUUUAAUUUUUAUAACAUUUGCGCAUCAUAGAAAAACUCUUUUUAUAUUCACAAAAUUUUUCAUUUCACUCUUUGUCCUUAAUAUGAACAUGAUUUUGAUAUGUCAUUGACAUUUUUUUUAACAUAAUAAUAUGAAUAUAUAAAUGUUGGACAUAAUAGAUUUUCAUUGCUUAGACAUGUUGGAUCAUGAACAACCAUACAAUAACACCUCAAGAUAAUGUAUUUAUGGGUUCUCUCACUUAUAAAAUGUUCAACUUACACUUAUACACAACACCCUCCUUAAGUUUCAUUAUGCUCCCCCACAAGCGAAAGUUCUUUCAUCUGCAAUUAUGUCGUUGCUGCUUUCGUCGCAACGGAACCGGCCGCCUAAACACCUUGUCGGGAAGACUUUAGAUCCAAGGAGUUGGUUGUAUCCUUCGUUGAAGGGGGCUCUGAUACCACUGUUGGGUCAUGAGGGAAGGCUGAUGGACCACCCACAUCAAUGCCAAAACAACCAACAAGUGAGAGAGACGUCACACUUUUAUCCAAAACCUUAAGUCGAUGCGUUUAUUGGUUCUCUCUUAUAAAGUGUUCGACCUCCAGUUUUUAUCCGAUGUAAGAUAUAUAAAUCACACUUGCACACAACAAAACACAUCUUAAAUAUAAGAAUGUCGUAAUCUUAACAUUAAUAUGAACAUAAAUUGAUCAUCAACCAUAUUUGUGAAAUUCAAUUCGGGUCAUACGGGUAUUUUCGAGUUCCUACCUUUUUGUCCAGCCCUAGUGAUACCAUGCAGCAACCAUUUUAUAUUGGUAACAAUUUGUUUUUCUAUAAUAAAACCAUUCCAUUUUCAACCUUUUGUUCAAAUAUAUCUUAUUUAUGACCAACUUGUUUUCUUUCUUACAUUAUUUUGACAAUAGUUUCUUUCUUACAUGUUACGUGACUAUAACGUUGACAUUAUGACAUAUAGUAAUCAAAUUGACGCGUAUGACUUCAUCAACAGUAAUAUGUACAUAUAAUUUUAUCAUUUAACAAUAUUAACAAUUAAUUAAAGAGAUCCAAGUGUUCAUGUUUUCCAAUUCCCAUUUCCCUACGCAAUUCCAAUAAGAAAAAGAUAAAGAGAAAGAAAAAAAAAUACAAACGAUAUACUAAAUAGUUUUUCUUUUUUGAAAUGAUAUACUAAAUAGUUAAAUACUAAGAUUUGUGUGACGAAAUAGUAGAAUUAAUUAAAAAGUUUAAACAAACAACAUAGAAGUUUCGCUAACGAGUGUCUCAUAAAACAUUCAAUAAUAAUUUUAAAUUAAAAUGUUAUUUCUUAAACAAAUUAAAUACUUUAAAUUCUAAUGCAUUGAAUAUACAAUUAUUUUUAAAAACUUAUUAGUUAUGGUCUUUAAAAAGUAUCGUCGAAUAUACUGUUAACAUUUUCUUUAACAUAUUAUAUGAUAUCCACCCAUUUGACGGUAAUGAGAACAAUUAAGUUAUCAUUCAUAGAUGCUUAAUGUAUUUUAAUUAAUGAACUAAUGUUGUUUAAAAAAUGAUAUUGGAUUAUUUAGUAUAAUCGGUGUAUUGAUUACCCAAUGAAUCUUAACUGUCCAAACGCGUCUUACUAAGGAAUGUUCAAAAACAUUGAUUAUAAUUCAUGAUUCCAUUCCAUGGUCCCACACAAUAAUAUACACUACUCUAGAUUACCCUAUAAAUACACCCUUAAUUAAACACAAACAUUAUCUAUCAAAUUUUUCUCAUCCUUCAAAACAAAGUCAAUAGUCACACACACAUUACAACCAAAAGAAAAAUAGUAAACAUCAAUAGUGACCUAAAAAUAAAACAAUUUUCCAAUUAAGAGCCAUAUCAAAAUUAGCAAAGUAACUAACGUACGGAUAGGGAGUUGAUUGUGAUGGUCGUGGCUACCAUGUCACGGCGUCCCAAGACGAUGCCGGAGCCGGAAACCCUCGGCAUCCUCGCCUUUGACGCCGGUAAGACCAUGUGUCGCCUCAUCUCCCUCUACAGCUCCCUCUCCGACGAAGAAAUCACCAAACUCCUAGAUGAGGUGGUAAAAUCCAAAGGUGUAACAUAUUUGAAUUCCAACCAAGAAAAUUUCCUCCUCACCCUAGCCGCUGCCGAACGCCUCGAGGAGCUCGACAACAUCGCCGUUACUGUCUCCCGUAUAGGCGAGAAAUGCUGUGACCUUGGCCUAGCAAGGUUUGACCUUGUCUAUGCCGAUCUUAAACAAGGUGUAAUUGAUCUCCGAAAGCUGCCAUACAACUCUCGGAGCUCUAUCAAGAUCAUUGAGAAAGCGGAGAAACUCAUCUCCGCGACCUCUAGUCUCUAUUCUGCCAUGGAAUAUAUGGCAGAAUUAGAGGCCGCGGAGAAAAAAAGACAACAACAACAACGUUAUUGGAACACAACAACAAAACCAAGUCUCAAGCCAAACAUGGAAUAUUUCAAUGAGAAAUUAGUGUUUCAAAGAAAGCAAGUGCAAAAUUUUAAGGAAACAUCAUUAUGGAAACAAACAUUUGACAAAACGGUUGGGAUCAUGGCAAGGCUUGUGUGCAUUGUGUAUGCAAGAAUAUGCUCCGUUUUCGGAGCAUACAUUAAUGAAGAACAGGAUGAGAACAACAAUUCCAUGCUCUUUGGUUUUGGGUUUGACCAUUGUUGCCUUCUGGAACACCGUGAAUUGUAUCAUAAUUCAAAUCACGGUGUUUCAGAAUGGUACGAGGAAGCACUCCAGAAGCGCGUGGUAAAGUCAGGGCCGAUUUCCAAAGUAGCAACGAAACCUAAUGUGAUCAGGUUUCUCAACAAUCCUAUGCCAAUGGAUUUUGCUUCUGGUCGUGACGGAACUGAGAAAAUGAUGAAUGGUAAGCAUGAUAAGGUUUUAAAGCUCGCCCCGCCAUCAACAGUGGGUGGAGUUGGGCUUGCUUUGAGGUAUGCUAAUUUGAUCCUACUGGCGGAGCGUUGUCUCCAUGCGCCCGCGACAGUUGGAGAGGACGCACGUGAGGCCUUAUACGAGAUGCUACCGGGAAGAUUAAGAAUGAAGGUAAAGGCGAAGCUAAGGGGACGGUGGGCGAAAGAGGGAGACGAAGGAAAUGACGGGCACUCACUGGCCGAAGGGUGGCGGGAGGCGGUGGAGGAGCUAAUGGAAUGGCUGUCUCCGGUGGCGCAUGACACAGUCCGGUGGCAUGGGGAAAGGCAUUUGGAGAAGACAAGAUUCGAGACAAAGCCUACGGCAAUGCUUCUGCAGACAUUGCAUUACUCUGAUUUGGAGAAGGCAGAGACUGCCAUAGUGGAAGUGUUGGUUGGUUUGAGUUGUGUAUAUUGGUGUGAGAGAAGAUUAUAGUGAGAUAUAUUAUAUUAUAAUAUAUAAUUAGGAGUAAUUGCAAGGUUUCAAAAAUUAAUUUAUGUUGUUAAGUUUAUGAUGAUUGGGCUGUAUUGUUGCAGUGUGAUUGAUAGUUGAAGCAAUAUAUCUAUUAAGCUAGUUGAUGUAGCAAUCUUGAAAUUACAGUUAAUAACAAUAUUUGAGGUUUUUGCAAGUAAUUUCAAGAUAAUUGCAUAAUGAUCACAAUAUUAAUCUAAAUCUUUGAUUUGUAUGGUCUUAAUUGUUGUUCCUUUUGAUUAAUAAAGGAGGAUGUUCUGUUUUAGCUUUUUGUAUAGUUUUUUGUCACCCUUGGCAACUUACUAUAUUUGUGUCUAUGCUUUGCAGUAGUUGUGUCUAAAUUGUUGCUACUGUGUGCCUUUUGUUUGAUUUUGGCUAGUAGAGUUGGUUGGAGCUAAAUGUAUUUUAUUUGACAAGAUUGAUGGAAGUGGCUACCUUAGAAGCACGGACACUACUCCUCAGAUUAGGCGUGUUAUGCGUGUCCGACACCGACACUUGUAAUUACACUUAAUUAUGUGAUUUUUCCAAAAAUUUUGCUAUGUCGGCGUGUCAGUGGCCGGUGUCCGUGUACGUAUCCGUACUUCAUAGGUGGCUAAUAUUGGCAGGUGGGUGUGUGGAUUUAAAGGAUUUGGCUAUAUGAAAGAAACAUAGGUGCUUCUGCGUUAUGUUUUUAUUCUAGGUGUGUUUAAUUAGUAAUGAGUCUGGUAUGGUAUGGUAUGUUAAGAGGUGAAAUACCACAUAUUUAGGCCUUUCUGGUUAUGUUUCAGGUUUUUUAAGUUUUUAGAUGAGUUACAGAUUCAUUUGUUGUAUCAUGUUGAGUGUCUUUUGGUUUGGGAUAUUGUGUCUUUAGCAAAAUUUGUGGCUCCAUUGACAUAACUUACUAGAAAUGAUCACCCUUUUGCUUGGACUGAAAAUUGUGAGGUGAGUUUUCGACUAUUGAAUGAACAUUUGACGACCUCUGAUGUGUUAAUUCUGCCAGAACGAUACAAAUUGUACGAAGACGCCUCUCAUCAAGGAUUGAGGAGCGUUCGGUUGCAAAAAAACGAAGGUAAUGACUUAUUCAUCGUGACAACUGAAAACAAACAUCCAAAAGGAAUUAUGCUGCUCAUGAUUUGGAACUUGAGAUAAUCAUUUGUACAUAAGUGCAUUUACGGUUUUCAUGGACCAGUAUAGUCCUAUUCGACCGGAAUGAACUCAAUAUAGACAAAGAAAGUGGAUGAAUACUUUCAAGGAAUUUAACUUCAUUCUACAAUAACACACCAUUAGAGAGCUAAUGCAAUGAGGCAUGCUCUUAUUCAACAAAGGAUUCUUGCAUCCUCUGGCUAAGCAAUAAGUUGUUCUUGAAAAAGUUUCAUUAUCUGGAAUUAGAUGUAGAAUUUUCAUCAGAAUUCAGGAGAAUUAAGAUUAGAAUGAUCAUUAUUUCUAAUGGAUUAAUUGAGAAUAUCCAGAACCAUCAUUUUGAUUAUAAACUUCUACAAGAAAAGAGGCAAUUAAUUGUGGAAAGGAAGACACCAAAAUUUAAUGUUGGACAAGAUAAUAUUCUACAGAUAUGUGUGGUCACGGUGGCAAAGAUAAGAAGAUCAAUUUUAGAGGGGGUACAUAAGAGUAAAUUCGGUUCUUAUCCGAAUGCGACCAAGAUGUAUCAAGACUUCAAAGCAAAUAACAUAUUUUAUCCACACACUUCUUACCAAUAAAGACGACCUACCAUGUGGAGAAUUUAUAAGAGGUUUAUGUUUUUGAAAUUGUAUACCUUCAUGGAGUCCCUUCGAGCAGUGUUUCGAUACGGAACUAAAAUUUACAUCUUAUUUUGGAAGAGCACUCCAUAAGGCCUUGGGGAAAGAACUGAGACCGAGUCCGACUUAUCGUCCUCAGAUCGAUGGACAUAUUAAAAGGACUAUCUCGUCGUUACAAGAUUUUUUUGUGUUUCAGAUAAUCGUUAAAGGUUGGAUGACUUGUUGCCACUAUUGAAAUUUUAGAAGAAUCACAAUUUUCAUGCAAGAAAUGGAAUGACAUCGUAUGAAGUUUUCUAUAAAUAAGAGUGUAAAGAGUCGUUGUAUUGAUAUCAUGUCUAAGUGGUGCUAACAAUUGCACUACAAUGUGAGAGACUGUUUUAUUUUAUGAAAAUUUUAAUUUGUGUAUAAAUAUAUCUUCGCCUCAUGGAUUUUUUACAAAACCAAUUUGGUAAUUGUUUAAAACUAUUAUUGGUAUUUUGAUAUUUUUCUCCAUGUCUACCAUGAAAAGCUGAAAAAGAAAUACAAGUAAUAAUUAAAGAUUGAUAAAAAAAACUGGAGUAGCUCUUAUUUCUAACAAGAUUUACCUCAUCACUUCGUUGAUUAAAAGGACAAUGAUGACAUAUUCAAGUACUUAUGAGACAUUUAACAACAAAUUUAAUUCUACAAUUGGUUUCUUGUAAAAACUGAUAACGUUCUUUUAAUAGAAUUCAGCGUAGUAUAUGAUGUUUUUAACAAUAUAAAGUGAAGAAGGAAAAAAUAUUUAUCACAAAAAGGGAAAAAAGAUGGCUAGAAUAUUGAUGUUUAUUUAUGCCAUGGUCCUUUUUGUAUUUCUUGUUGUAAUCAAAGUCGGUGGUAAGCCCUUUUUCUCACCAUCUUCAAAAAAAAAUUAUUUACCUUUACACAAAUAUUUCAUUAGAUUGUGUAUUAAUGGUGUUUUAUUUUAUAUUUAUUUUUUCAAUUAGCAGCUUCUCGUAAUUGCGAACUUGACUCUGAUUGUCCAAAUUAUUUGUGUUACCCUCCUAAAGUUGGGAAGUGUUAUUUUCAUAAUUGUUACUGCAAUUAACAAGUAAGUUGAAUAAUUAUUUCGUUUUUUUUUUUUUUUUUUUUUUUAAGGAUAUUUCGUUUCUUUUGUAAUCUUAUAAUUCUAGCUCUCUUCUCUCCUUAUCAAACCUUAGUCGUCACCCCUUUUCCUUCUCAAAUCCUAUAAUUUUAGCUCUCUUCUCUCCUUCUCAAACCCUAGCUGUGACCCAAAAAUCACCCCUUCGAGUUAUUUUUCCUUCUAUCCUAAUUAAAUAAGUGAUUUCACAUAUUUUCUGUUUUCUUUCGUUUGUUUUUGUGAUUUCGUCGUCUCUGAACAUCUCUGUUUGUUUUGAUUUCCCGUCUUUUUGCGUUGUGUUUUUUAUUUUCCGUCUUAAUGCGGUGUUUAUUUGAUUCAGGUUGAAAGAUUAGCUAUGAGCAAGUGCAGAUCCGAUCAAUGACAAUAACUUUGUCGUCGUCAACGUUGCAGAUCCGGAGACAUGAGUAUAACAGAGACUUGAAUAUAGUCAUAUUUGUAGACAUAAAUACUUUGCCGUUUUAUGCUAUUAUGGAUGUUGUGAGUUUGUUCAGAGAUUCAUCCUUUUUGUUUUUAGCGAAUUUGGAUUUGUAUUGUAUCGAUGUACUCUAUCAAUUUGAAUGAAUGAAUAUCGUUUACUUUUGUCAAAAAAUCUCAUGUUUAGUUUUUUUAUUUGUUUGACAUUUUGAUUAGUUGGAUAAUGUAAAAAGAAUAAUACAAAACAAAUAAGAAGUCACAUUUACCUCAAACAAAAUAAAAAGCAAUUAGUCAUAGGGGAGCUUCUACGGUGAGGUGUACCGCGAUACUCUGCUUCAUAAAUUUAUAAAUUAAUGAUCAUUUUAUGAAAUAAGUUGUUAUUUGUCAUUAUUUAUAUUUUAGAAAACACCGUCUCAUGAGGAAAAAAAAACAUCAUUUCAUUGUUUAUAUGAAUUAUAUUAAAUUUUUAACAUUUUCUCAUAAAAAAUAAUCAAUAUUCUUCAUUAUGAGCAAUAAAAAUUCAAAAAAAGUAAAUUUUAUUUCAUCGACGCUUUUGGUAAAUAAGAUUUAAUUAUUAUAAUUGUCAAUGAUAGAAAAUAAUUAUUUUUUCUUCAAAAAACAAUCAAUUUAAUUAUUAAUUUAAUGUUUGGUGUACCGGUAUACUUAAAAUGUUGGGUGUACCAUAGAAUUUGUCAUUACUCAUAUUAUAACACCAUAUUUUCUCUAGAUUUAUUGAAGAAGAAAAAAAAUUAGAACAUUUACAUAUUCCACACACGAUCUACCCCCAUCUUCUUCAUAUAAAACUCAUCAAAAAAUUGCAUGAGAUGCAUGAUGAAAAUAAAAAAAAUAAAAAAAUGACAAGAGCAAUUUAAGGGGACAAUAAUGAUGGUGUAAAUGGAGAGGGUUGAAUGGAUAAAACGUUGUUGGAUUGAGAGAUGCGAGAAGGUUAUGAGUUGAAGAGUAUGGAAAUGAAAGUGGCUGUGUUGCAUAUGGUAGAGAGACAUGAUUAAGUUGAGUAAUUUUUACUUGUUAAAAUUAAUUAAUGUCUUAUUCUCUUAAGAACUCAAGUAACAUUCACUUUUGUGAGAUUUAAAAAAAAAAAAAAAAAAAACCUUCUUUCUUUAAUUUUUCUGUGUUAAUAUCUGAUCAUUGAGUUUUUUGUGUGUCCAGAUUUUUAGCUUUUUUUUUCUUUCUUUUGGUACAAGAUUUUUGGCUUUUUAUCGACGAUACAAAUGAAAAGAGAUUGAGAUAUGAUUAUGUAUAAAAAUGUGUAAAUGCUCUAAUCUUCAAAUUUAAAAAAUCUAUACCAUUCGAUGGAUCUAAUGUUAUCUUUGUUCUGAUCUAAUGGUGAGAGACUUAAUUGAUCCAUCAUCCUAUAAACUACCAUAGAUAUAUGCUUAUAUUAUAAACUUCUAGCAAAUUUUUAAAAUACUUUAUGUGUAUAUGUGUAUUAGUUGUUAUUGUAAUAUUUUAAUUUGCAUUAGAUUAAUAAUAAAUAUGUGCAUUCUUUCUUAAAAAAUAAAAAUAAAUAUGUGCAAAGUUAUAUUUUUCAUUUACGUAAAAAACGAUAAUUUAUUUUAAUUAUUUGUAAUUUUAUUAAUAAGGGUUGAUAAGUUUUUGGCCCUAUGAAUAUAAUCACUUUUGUUUUUAGUUCUCGUAAAAAAAAUGACAUAUUUUGAUCCCUAUACAAAUUUUCAGCACAUACUUUGAGUCCUUGUAAAAUUGAUUUUUGUUUAAUUAUACUUAAACUUUUAAAUUUUAGCUAAAAUUUUAUUACUUUAAUCUUUAAAUUUGGUUGUUUAGAAAAAUUCAUAUUUAAUUCAUUAUAUGUUAAAAUAUAUAUAUAUAUAUUUUUAUAUAAAAGAGUUUCUUAUAAUGUUCUUAAAAUGUCUGACUAAAAUCAUUCAAAAAUUUAGAAAAAAAGGUUAAGAUAUAUUGAAAAUUACGCUGGAACGAAAGACAAGCGAGGAACAAAUUGAACCAAGAUCGUUUUUUAAAGACUAUAUUUAUAGAUUUAGAAAACACAACAUUGUGGUAUAUCUAUGCAUGACUAUUUGAAUUCUAUGUAAAAGAUUAACAAUUUCUGACACUUGGGUCUGUUCGGUUCGUGGGUUUUGAAGGGGAGGGGAGGGGAAGGGAGGGGAGGGGAAGGGAGGGAAUAUUUUAAAAAAUUUGUGUUUGGUUCAAUUUUUAGGAGGGGAGGGGAGGGAGAGGAAGGGGAGCAAAAUUCCUCAUAAGCUCAUUUAUUGCUCCCCCUCAAAUUGGAGUUUUUUGGAGGGGAGGGGAGGGAAAGAGAGACGAGUUAAUGCAAUUUAAAUUACAUUGACAUAAUUAUCCUCAUGUUUAUUUUUAAAUGACAAAACCGUCCUUAUUAAAAAUUUAAGUGUUUUCAACAUAUUGCUUAUUACCAUCUUUUUUGUAACAUGCCAAUGUCAAUUUUUUUUAUCGAGAACUGCAUAUUCUUGUCUUCUAAUUUUUUUUAUGCGAAUUCACUUUUUUGACUAACGUUGCUUUUAUUUUUUUUAUUUUGAUAUAUUUAUUUUAUAGUUUUUAAUUGUAUUAUAUAUUAAAACAUAAUUAAUAAAAUUUGUAGAAGAUUUUUUUAUAAAUAUAUUUUAAAAAUAAUUUCUAACAGUAAAUUUUUUAUAAAUAUUUUUAUAUUGUACUAGAUUAUUUUAGAAGUGCUCUAAUAUUUAUGAAUACUUAAUAUUUUUUUUGUUUGAUUAUUUAUGGAGUUUUUGGUUACGAGUUUUUAUGUUUAAAUUUUUAUGAAGUGAAUAAUAUAAAAAUCAUGAUAUUGUUUUAAGGUUAGCACGGAUAAAAAGGUAAUUUGAUUUUAAAAUUCCUCCCCUUCCCUUAUGAACCAAACACAUAUUUAAUUAAAAUCCCUUCUCUCCCCCUACCUCCCAUCAUUUGAACCAAAUAUAUAUUUAAUUGAUAUAUCUCUCCUUCUCUUCCCUCCCCUCCAUUAAAACCCCUCUCCUCCCCUCCCCUCCGUUGAACCAAACAAACCCUAAAAAGACAAAUGUCAAACACAAAUAACAUAAAAACAUAUUGAUUAUCGAAACACAUGUUGCAGAAGAAAAAUAAAAUAUUGGCCACCCUCACAUUUAUAGAUCAUAGAUUGAAAAUAUGUAAGUAACCUCGUGAUCAAAGGAACAUGCCCCCAUGCAAACAUUUUAGGAUCUUAGUUGUCACAACUCACAACAAUUAUAAAGAAUAAAAUCCUAGACAACACCAACCCCCCAAUGUACUGGAUCGAAUUUCUGUUUCAAAAUUCUGAUUCUCCAACACAGUGAUUAAGAUUAAUUUUCUUAAUUAUUAUAUCAAUCAACAAGCUACAUUUUAGUUCAACAGGAAAAAAGUUGAUGAGAAUAAUAUCCCAUAAUAUUUUGUACUAACUCUAUUCUAUAGUCCUAAAUAUAUAUAUAUAUAUAUUUUUAACAAUACUAACCCUUUUCCUAUAUAAGUGAAGAGAAUAAGGACAGUUUCUUCCCAUGUGCAACUCUGCCACUGCACCCCAAAACUUCAUUGAUUCCUCUCUGAUUAUAUCAGACCUACCCAUCUCAUUAUCCCUAAAGAAGACAAAGUCCACCAACUGCCUUUAAAACCCAUCUUACACAUAUAUAGGACCUCGUUUCCCUUACACAUUCAUAUCUUCAAUAUUAUACCUCUCAUUUUUCACUUUCCUUCAAUCAUUAUAUUACUUUCAUUGGCCUCUGAUUUUUUUAAGUAUGGUCUAAAUUUGGAAUUAUAUAAAUCUUGGUCGUCAUAUAAAAAUGAAUGGUUGAAAUUGUUUAAAAUUUAUUUAUUAGUAAUAUAAUUUGAGUUGUUUGAUAAUUGAUACAAAAUCAAUGAUUAUAUGUGUAACUUUAGAACAAUGUGAUACAUAUAUGUGUAAGGGCUUUAUAGAUUUUUUAAGAUUUUUUUUUUAAACAACACAAUUUUUUUUUUUAUAGAUUUUGUAAAUACAGACUCAAGUUUUGAGUUUAUUGGUUCGAGUGAAAUUGAACUGUGAUUUUUAAAGUACAAUCUUAAUUAAAAGAAUGUGACCAGUCAAAUUUUAAACAAAAUUUAGUAUUCAACGAAACUGAUGAAUAUAGUUAUCAAAAAAGAAAUUUUUUAAUUUCCAAUCACGUGCAAAAUUCAGCAAAUAUUAACAAACACUCAAAUCGAAAAAAUGAUUUCCUAACUCCCUUUCCCCUUUCAUCAUUAAUAUAAUCUUCAUUUUUUUAACAUACAAGAGAAUUUUGAAUGUUGAGUAUGUCUAAAACAUUCAUGUGAUAGCUACGUAUGAAUGACCAUGCUAGGUACACAAAACUUCAUUUAAGUCAAAAGGGAGUUUCCAUCAAAUUACUAUUUAAGCUUUAGAUCAUAAAGAAGUACCAGAAUGCUCGCCUUGUGUUCUGCAACAAUUUAUGCAUUGAACUUGACAACCUAUAUGGUUAAAUAUUAGAGUUCAUAGGGGAGUUGGAGUGCUCACUUUUCAUUGUUUCAACAUUCUUUAUAAUUCAUCACUUGUCAUCAUGUGAGUAAUAUAGGGUUUUUAAAACUAGGUCUAAUUCUAUAAGAGACAAUUCUAUUCAAUAAGUAUAUCCAACCACCGAUGAUUUAUCAUCAUGAGGCAAAUGUUUUAUAUAUUGGAUCCGAGAUCGAACAUGUGAGACCUUCAAGUUAUAGUUUAAUUGGUUCAAUCGAUUCAAGCACAACGAACUAAAUGAAAAAUAAAUGUAAGCAAACAUUGAUUUCUAGUGGUUCAGUUGAACUGAUCAAUUCGGUCUAAUUUUUCAAACAUUGAUUAACGAUCAUCCUAAUCAACUUGUCAUCGAAGACUAAAUGUAAGCAAAUUUAAAGAGUAUUUUAACUCGAUUAAACUCUGAUACAAUUUAGUUUAACCAGAUUGUGAUACCAUUGAAAUCAACUCAAGUGAAUAAACGGCUGGUUUCUAGUGCAUCCCAUUGCACCGGUCAGUUUUGUCAAACAUUGAUUAACGACAAUCCUAAUCAACUUGUCAUCGAAGACUAAAUUUAAGCAAAUUUAUAUAGUAUCUUGUUAUGUUUGAACACUUUUCUCUUCCGCUAGACGCAACAACCGUUGAUUUGUUACGUAUAAAUGUACAAUCAACUUGUCAUCGAAGACUAAAUGUAACCAAAUUUAAAUAGCAUAUAUUUUGUUAUGUUUGAGAACUUUUCUCUUCUGUUAGACGCAACAACAACCGUUGAUUCGUUACGUAUAAAUAUGUACAAGAAGAAGAAACAAAAAGAGUAGUUUAUUUUUCAGCUUUCAUAUAAUUCUCACAUAAAACACAAGAAAAAACAAAAAAUUUGCGUAAUCAGCGCCUGUGAGUCUUUGUUGGAAUAAUUCAUAUUCUCUAAUUGAUUAUUAAAUUGCAAAAAGCAUAUUAUCUUUACCAAUUUUUAAAAGGGUUUUGAUUCCAUAGUAGGUGGCAAGUUUUGGAAUGAUAUAGAAGAAAAGGUAGCGGAAAAAAAGGUGAAAGAGUGAAGUGAAGCUUAUGGAUUUGAGUGAUAGAAUAAUUACAAAGGAAAAGGGAAUCAAUGUUGGGAUGUAUCUGACUUUAUGCGGAUGUGAAAAGCUCAAUCAGUGAUUUCUUGAGUUAGUUUAUUUUCUGUCUGAUAGAAUGUCAGUGAAGUAGUGGAUAGGGAAAUGAGCUAUCUCACUUUAUUCCAUGCAAUCAACAAUUUCUCGCAUUCACGCAGUUUAGACAUCGAUAUCGGUUCAUCAAGAACAAAUGUCGUCGAGAUUCAUGUUCUCUAUUUUUAUUUAUAUUAUUAAAAUUAAAAUCAACCUUAUUUAAACUGUUUAAUUAUGAUCGAACGAUCAUCGAUGUAUUGACUGCGUGAAAGACGGAUCAUGCAGAAUGAUAGUAAUCCGUAAUUUAAAACAAUUUUUUACUCACGGUACUUUCUCUCUCUUUCACUAUUUGAAAUUCUGAAACAGUGAUUAAUUUCCACGUUACUUUGAUGUGUAUAUCAGAAGAUGAUGUCAAUUUGAACAAGUACUGUUGUCCACAUGCAGAAUAAUGAACUACAGUACAAGGGAUUAGUUUUGUUCCAAAAUUAGAAGACUAUCUUUCAUUUUCUUUUCUCAUUGACAAUGGAAAUAGAAAAGCUCUUCAUUGAAAUUGUGGUUAUAACACAAUAGUUAAUGAUAUUUCUUUGUAGACAAAAAACAUAAAGAUAAGAAACUUACAUGAGAAAACCCUAAGUAACUUUUUUUUCUGUUCAAAUUGAAUUAGGGCAAACUUAUCCUUCUUUCAUUAUUGAGAUUCAUUUGAAGUAUUUACUUAACAUAAAAAAUGUUUUUUCAUAUUGAUCCAUAAGAAAUGCAAGAAAACAAAAAUAUAAUUAUGGGAUGAAAACAAGAAUAUGUAACUGUAUUAUUAUAUUAAACCUAGCCGGCAAUUAUUGAUGUAUUUUCCAAGAAGAAUUAACCAUGGUUUGAGUUGGAGGUUCAUGGUUUAAUUUCCAUGAAUUUUCCUAAAUAUUUGCCUAAAAAAAACAAUGAUUGAUUUAUAUUUGAAUUUUUUUUUAUAUAUGAUCUUAUAUAUUGAUGGAAACACAUCAAUUACAAUGUCAUGAUCACCCUGCAGUUAUUCAAAAUAAUUGAACUUUUGGCCAUACUAUCAAAGAAGAAGAAGUUUACAAAAGCCUGUGUAUAUAGUUGCAGUAAAUGCUAUGAUGACAAACAACUUUGCAGAUAUCUGAGGCUGAACCCUCAUGAAAGAAACAAAUCAAACAUGAUGAAAAACUUCCUUGUAAGGUAAAGAAAUUAAGAAAGAGUAAACACAAACAACAAACUAUGAACAUAAGAGAAGAGAAAAAUCUAUAUUCAUUAAGAACAAUGAAGGAUUUUCUUUAUAUAUAUUUAUAUAUAUAUAUGCUACUUAACUAUACCUUGGACCUUGUACCAAGCCUUAACUCCAGAUCUACCUCCUCAAUUGAAUUAGGGUUGAACUCAAACAUCUUUGCUUGCAUAUUUUGUUGUUUAUCAAAGGUGCUUGAGUUAGAGAAUAAUUGAUUUGAUGAAGAAUCUAUUUUCCUCUUCUUGCAAUUGAAAUCUUCUUCUUUAGUACUCUCAAAUUCAACAAGUGGAUGAGUUCUACACAAAACCAAAUUCAAGCUCAUAGCUACAUCACUUUCAUCGUCGUUUCCCCCUUUAUCUCGAAACCUAGCAUCUAUUAUACCUUUGGAGACUUUUUGAUCAAAAUUAUCAACAGCAAGUUGAAACUUUGUUGAACAUAAUAUAUCAUUUCCAGGUAAAUUCAGCCAUGAUUCAGAAGAGUUGAAAGGAGAAAUUAGGGUUUCAUCUCCGAAUAAAGCCUUAGAAGCCGACGAAGGGGAUGAAGUUGAAGAUACAAAAUGAUCAAGAUGAGAAUUAGGGUUAGUUUUAUUAUAAACCAAACCACAAGAAGGAGAAUUAGGGAAUAGGUUAUUAUUAUAAACAUUUUGAAUAAGUGGAUUUUGAACAUGAUGAGUCGCGAUUUCAAGCUCGUGAUGAUGGUGAUGAUGAUGAUUAUGAUAAAGAAUUUGAUCAUUUUGUGGUUGUUGUUUGAGUCUUGCUCUAUCUUUUCUAUGAACAUUCAUAUGUCCACCUAAUGCUUGUGCUGACCUAAACUCUCUUCUACAAAAGCUACAAGAAUAUGAUCUUGGUGGCCAUAUACAUCCUCCAAGUGACCCUGCAGCUGCAUCUUCAGCAAAAGCUUGUUCUUCCCAUGAAUCACCAUAACAAGAAGAAGAAGGGUUAGUUAGUGAACUAGCAAGAUUUGAAUUACUCAUUGAGUACUUUCUCUUUGUUUGAAUCCAACAUUGAUCCUGUUCCAUUGAUACAAAGAUCACCAAAACCUAGGUGGAUAUAUAUAAGAAAACUAAGAUCUUAUAUAUGAAUUAAGAAAUCAAAAGCUAUAUGAAGUUUGUUACUAUCUAGGGCUUAAUGAUAUAUAGAUAGAUAAAGGAUUGAUUAAGAGAGGGUUUUGUUUGUGGAACAUGUGUGACAUGAAGUGUUAAAUACUCUAACUUACUUGUAUUUUGGUGUAUGAUUAAACCAAACACUUUUGGUGUUUUUUGUGUUUGGUUUUGAAAAAGAGUCAAUGAGGGGACACACACACUAACUUGCCCUUCUUUUCUGCAUUUUUUUCUUAGUGAAGAGGAGAGGAAAGAUAAGCAAAAGCAGCCAUGUAUUUGAAAAAUAGUGAUGUGGGGCCCACUAAUGUCUUACAUAUAAUAACAUAAGAUGUGAGGUGGGGGGUGGAUAUAGUACAACAAUACUGACUUAACUCAAAAAAAUCUGACUGCAAUCUCCUCAGACUUUGAGAUCCAGCAUUGUGUUGUCCUUUUUUUUUGUUGAGAAAAUAAUGUCCUUUGGUUUUAAUUUUAUUGUACAAUAGAACGAACAUAUAGGGUUUUCAUGUGUCCUUUUUUAUAUUGUAUAAUAAUAAAAUAAUACUUACAAUAAUGAUACUAGUAGGACAUAUUUAUAUAUACAUAGGUGGUAACGAUCAAUCCAUAUAUGUGUAUGACGUACUUGAUAAUAUAAGCUGAAUUUGUGGUUGUAGAAGAAUCAAGAUUUUGGUCUCUGCCAAACAUAGAUUAGUGAGAGACAAGUAACUUUAAUUCUUUUUUUCUUUUUUGAGGAAAGUAACUUUAAUUCUGUUUGGUUUUCGAAGAAGUAUAUAUGUGUUGAGAUGAGACACUAAAGGAGGACAGGGUCGGCCCAUAGUCCGUCGAGGUUGGGCGACGACACCGGACCUCCAAUUUUUUGGGGCCCAAAUUUUUAUUUUUUUUUUAUAUGUAAGCCACGAAAAUAAUGGUUAUAUAUCAAUUAAAAGAAAAUUAAUUUAAUUUGUACAGUUUGCUUUAGUGGCGUGGCCAUUUUUUGAUGAGUGUGAGGUCAUGUGUUCAAGACCCACAAAAGUGUAAUUUUUAAUAAUUUUUUUUUAAAUAACUUAUUUAUUUUUUUUGGGCCCAGUUUUUUUUUUUUUUGCAUCCCUUAUAAAAUUAAAACCGGACCUAUAAAUUUGUUAAGACGGCCCUGAAGGAGGAGGUCUUGAGUUCAAUCUAUAUGUAUAAUAAACUUCUCUUAUCUAACAAAUUAUUAAAGGUCUGUUUAAAUUGAGGGUUUAGAAGGGGAAGAGAGGGGAUAGUUUAUUUUUCUUUUUUAAAAUACAAAUUAUAUAACAUGUUUUUCUAAAAUAAAUUAAGUGUGAUUGAAGUAUUAUAUGAUCGUUUAUAAUGUUAUUAUUUUAAUUUUUUUAAAAACAAUUCAUAGUGUCCAUAAUUUAAAAACGAAAAUCAAACUCUCCCCUCUCUUCCCCUCCUAAACUAUCCAAACACACCCAAAUAAAACUUUUGUUGGUGAUUAUCAUUUAUAUUAAUGGUGCGUUAAUCUCCUGCUACUAACAAAUCUUUCUCUAAUUUCCCUAAAAAAAAUAAAAAAUAUUAUUUCUCUAAUAAAAAAAAGAAUCAACUUUUGAUUGCGAUUGUUAUUGUUAUGAACUGUGUGUUGAAUCUUUUGGAAGCUUAUCUCUAGGCAAUAUCUUGUGCUAGGCGAGGUCUUGGAUGAUGCAUGUUUAUGUAUUUUAUUUUUGGUUCCCACUUUUUACAAUAAGUUUGCUUCAUUUUCUUCCUUGUGAUUGAUGUUGUAAUUUUUUUUAAAGGCAAAUAAUUAUUAUAUAUAUUAGCGAAAAGAUGGAUACUCAAGUGCCCGUCUUUUCGUUUUUUUUAUUGCGCUUUGAAAAUUAUUAACAGUGUUUUUUUUAUGAAAUUUUGAUUUGGAUUAAAACUACUAAUAUAAAUAUUUGUUGCUUUCAAGUUAUAAAAGCAAAGAAACUCUUCCAAGGUAAAAAAAAAAUAGCAAAAAAUUAAAACAACACAAAAAAAAUCCACUAAACUCCUAUCAUGAACACCUAACCACAACCCAACAAGCGAAAACUAGGAACAUAACCCCUCAAUCAGCCAAUCGCUGGAUAAAUCCGCCACAAAAUACUAACGGGGCCAACACAUAAUGAGUUCAUGAUCCCACUCAUAGAAGGAACAUGUGUGACAAGAAUGUUUUCCUAAAAACUACUUCCAAAAGGUAAGGUAACCAUAUCUACAAACUAGAGCACAUACGUCUCCUUCCCCAAAAAGAUGUGAGCAUUUCGGGAACUCCACAAAGACCACACAACAUAUUGUCAGAUUAAUAAGAAACCCAACUUAUUAAUCGCCACCCCCACUUAAUUCGAACAUAAAACUAAGAAAACUUGGUAAAUUUGAAGGUAAAAUCAACGCCCACCUCUACUUAAAAGAUUAAAAAAAAAUACUCCCUCCGUUCCAAAUUGUACGUCACUUUAGAAGAAAAAAAAUUGUCCCAAAUUAUAUGUCGUUUUACAAAACCAAUGAAACAUUCAUUUUUCCUAUUAUAUCCUUAACUAAGGAUGGGAAUAGGCCAGGUCGGCCUACAUGGACCUACGGCCUAGCUUACGACAUGCUAGACCAGACUUUUUUCUUAAACAGAGAAUGCCUAGACUUUUUUAGAAGCCUAUUUAACCUAAAAGGCCAGGCCUCAUGCCAUUCAAAAAGCCUCUUAGGCCUAUUAGGCCAGUCUAUUUAAGUAAAUAUGAAUAAUAUUAUUUAUUAUUAUAUUAUAUUUUGUACUUUGAAUCAAAAUAAAAAGUUGUUAACUUUUUCAAUAAUUUAAGCUUAUUAGUAUACAUUAAUGUUUUGCAUAUUUAAAUGUAUUAUUAUAAACUAGAAUUGAAAUAUGAUACAAUAUAUAGGUGAAAUUUCCUAAAAACUCAUAUUGAUUAUCAAAAGAGAGUUUAAUCUAAUUGAUAUAUAGUUCGCUAGUCUAUUUAAACUCAGAUCACAUUGCUUAUUUAAAAAUGUUCAUAUGAAAUAGGCUUUUAAACAUGCUAGCAGACCGUAUCAGGCUUUCAGAAGGCCAGAUUCAUGCCUAAAAAGUAAGUAUAUGACAGGUCGUAGGCCAGGCUUAACUAUUUAUACUCUUUCUUCUUUCAAUUAUUUCAUUUAUCUUUCCAAUAUCAUUUAUUAAGUAUAAUUUUGUAAAACAACUCAUAAUAUCUAUUUACCACAUAAUAUUAAUUACAUAUUUGAGACAAAGGGAGUAUGUCAUUGUUAUUAAGAUAGAGAUUUUUUCCGUUUUCAGAAAUAAAACAGAGUUACUUAAUAUGAUUAUAUAACUUAGGAACUAACUUAAAGAGUGUGUUAUAACUAGAGGGAUAAAUUAAUAGUUUAUUAAAAAAAUCACACUACGUACCAGAAAUUCACUGAUGGUGAAGACAUAAAGAGCAUGAUUUUUUUUUUUUUUUUUAAGAAGUAAAGAGCAUGAAACCUCUUGUUGCCACCGUUGUAGAGCAGAGGGUCUGCCAUAUAAUUGAUACGUUGAUUAAUUUAUAAGUGUAAACAUAUGGAACUAACACUCACAACAACGAUAAUAAAAUCAAAUAUAAGUGUAAAUAACAGGACACAAUUUAAUCAAUAAUUUGAUUUAAAAAACCUGAACAAUAGAUAGACUUUAGUAUUUGGCUGUGUGAGAUAUUUCAAUUGUUUAAGACCAUCGCUUAGUUACACUUGGAUCCAUGCACGGUGUACUAUCAUAUUUUGAAGGGAAUUCAUGAUUGAAGCAUUUCAAUUUUUAAUUUUUUUUAAUAUUAGAAACUUUAUUAGAGUCCAAUUGAACAAUAUUGUAGUGAAAACACUUUUCCCACCAUCUAACUUUCAUAGAAUUUUUAAUUACUCCAUUCAAACGCACUCUAAAUUUUCUAAUUUAUGUGGUUGCAGCAAACAAAACAUGGUGCCUUUAUAAUCUUACAUUAUGCCUUUUUAUGUGUGUAUAUCGGAUACAUGUUUUUUUUUUUCAAAGUGAUUGUGAAAAAUAAAAUUAAUAAAAGUGACUGUUUUUACACACAAACAAUGCUCUCAUGAAAGCAACCUUAUUUCUUAUUUUCAUCUUGAAUAAAAUAUUAAUUGGCAACCACAUGCUAUCUAAUUACGUCUAAAAAUGUAUCAGUGAAACAUAUAGUUUUAAUGAAAUUCUGUCGGCUUGGUAUACUAUCUUAAUUAAGUACAUCUUAUUUUUUCGAAGGAAAUUAAGUAUAUCUUAUUAUUUAUCAAUUUAAUAAAACAAUAUCAAGACAAAAUUUAGAUGCAACCAAAACUUUAUAAUAAUGCAAGUUUGCUUUGAUAGUGUUGCUGUUAGUAAACGUUACAAGCAAAUAGCAUGCAAUGCCAAAAAGACAACAGUAGAGAAUUCGAAGUAUAAGGAAAAUGACUAAUUUUUAAAUAUUUGUUAUCAUGUCAUAGUCAUAAUUAAUAAAUUUCCGUAAAUAAGUCAUAAUUAAUAAUCCAACUUGAUCCACGGGCACAACACUUUUCAAUCCUCUUCUUGAGACGACAUUAAUUGAAGAAUUAUACUAGCUACUUGCUAGUUUGAGCUUGGUUAAGUUUGUUUGAGUUCACAUUAAUUAUUUUGUUAUCACACUCUAUUGUGCAAUGAUUUUACAUUUUACUAUUUCAUGGUUGUUUUGUUGUCUAUCUUAUUAUAGUUUAAGUUUACUUGAUUUGAUAUUGUUUUUAAUUUUACACUUAUUUAUUCCCUUGGUAUUAUUUUUUACGAUCAUAGAACUCAUGUGUAUAAUAUUGAUUAAAGUAGAACCCAGCAUUGAAAAAUCAUUAUAGCACCGAAACCAACAUUAUUAAAAAAGAAAAUUGAAAAUAUAUAUUAAAAAUAUCCAAUUUUUUAAGAAGUUAAACUUACCUACCAAAUUGACACUGGAGAAAAUCGAAUUUGAGAUCUUGAGGAGGAGCACACUUGUAAGUCCCAGGCUAACACCGUCAUACCAACUCAAGUGGGUUCCAAAUAUCCAUUUAUUUAAGUGAUUAUUUAAAAAUAAAAAUAAAAGGCUUUGUUUAUUGGUCAAAAACAAGUAGAAGUAGUCUUGCUAACUUAUUUAUUCGUAUUUUUAAGUGAAAGUAAAUUAUCAGUUAUAUAUAUAGAGAUAAUAAGAAAAAGUGUAUUGUAUUCUAGACCAUAUAAAAAUUGGGGAUGAAGAGGAAAUUAUAUAAACAUUUUUUACGAAAAAAACUAUUCUGAUAGCUAUCCAUCAUGUUUAGGCGGUAGGAAGUAAGUUUGUAUUCCUAUGGAUUAGACAUUGUAUAUAUAUUCCUUUUAGACAAUCAAUGAAUUAGAAGCUCAUUUUAAUUAAUUUGUUGACUAGACUUUUGACCCGUGCGUCGCACGGAUCCUAUCGAGCGCAAUAGACACCAAUAAAUUAUGUUAUAUAUUUUCAUUGUUGUUAAAUAAGUCUUAUAAAAAAUUUGUACUAUUAUUAAACAUAGUACGAUAAACAUUCAUAAAAAACAUUAGUUAUCCUAAAUUACAAAAUAUUUUUCCAUAGACAACUUUUGAAGUUACAAUAGUAUCUUAACCAUGAUCUUCACCAGCUACCAAUAUCAUCCAUUGCGUGAACAUCAAAUAUCGUAACUCAAAUAUAUUUUUUCUUCACCUAGAAGCAAAUCUAACAUAUAAUUAUUGAUCUUGUCAACAAUUAAAUUUUUAGGAGAUAAAAUAGCUUUCGGUGGAUGUUGAGUAAAAAGAAAUCGCUCGACAGAUACUUUCCUAUAGAUUGGUGCCAUUGGAAGACAUGUUCUAGUAAAUUAAAGAUCUUUUGUGCAAACAUGAGAAGUUUAUAGAGAAAUUUCAAACAAUUUAGCAGGAAAAUAUUAGAGCAUACUUAGUUUCAAUUACCUCUACUAAUACAAACCAAUUGUUAUUUUGAUAUAUUUUUGCCUCUAUAAAUGCCCAAUUGCUCUAAAUUGCACCAUGAUAUAUCUAUCAAUUAUCAUGAACUGCAUUUGAAAAAAUACAUAGUAUCACAAAUGCCUGCACAAAAUGCUAAUACAAUUAAUACUGGAACUAAUUAAUCUUAAAAAAAAGAAUCAAACUUAAACCCAACCAAUAUUUUGGUGGUAAGCAAACUGAAAGAUAACACUAAACAGUGGAUGGUAUCACUUUUAAAUAGAUAGUAUCAUUGUUUCCACUAAAUGUUGCAGAAAGCUUUAUCAUAGUCCUUUCAAAAAGUCUCUUUGCAAUACAAAUCGUCCCAGCCACCAGCAACCUUGAAAUGCAAGUCUGGUUCACAAACAAAUUGGAGUAUACAAUUCCACUUGUUCUCACAAUCAUUCAACUUAGGACUAACCAAAGCACCAAGUAGAAAUAGAAGAUAUCAUUGAAAUUUGAUGGCAAUUCCUUAGUGUCUUAUCUCAAAUAUCAACAUUUUUCCUAUAAUUGUAAAGAUGAAAAUGUUAUAUAGUGAUCCUCACCAAUGUAGCUGCACAAUUAACAAAAAGUCCCAACAAAAGCAAAGUUGCCACAGUACCCUCCUUGACCUAAUUAAACAACACAAUACAAUACAAUGACACUUCAAUUUUAUUACGAUACAUAUAUGUAUUGUGCUGUAAACAUAAAUUUAUAUAAAGAGAGUGUUUGAAGGGAAUUGAAGACCAAAAAAGGUGUAAGUAAAAGAAAUUGCAAUGUAAAAUUUUUGUUGAAAAGUAAUAAAAAAAUCAUUGCAUCACAGAUGUGAACAAAAUUGAAGAUAUGAACAAAAAUAAGAGAUUGCAUCAGAAGCAUCCAUAUGUGCUCCAUCCAUUAUCCAUUCAUUCAUACAACAAUAUAAGUAAAAUGAAAAAAGGCAUAAAGGAAAUAGAGAGUUGAUUCCUAAAAGUGAAAUAACAGUUUUAUUACCUAUAAGCUCCGGAACUCAACUUGUAUCAAAAUUGUAAAUCUUAAUCAUAUUAUAUGUCUAUAUAGGUUAUCAGUCCAAAUUGAUAGCCUAUACGCUACAGAAAUAUAAAUAUAAUUUCUGUCUCGACGAUAUAUGACAAAGUGUUGUGUGUCAAGUAUGAAAAAAUUGUCAAUAUGCAGUCAACAAACAGAGGCAUGCCAAUGGAAGAAAGAAAUUAGAUCUAUUAUAUACCUUUUUUUAGCCAUGAUUGCACCUUAUCUUCUUAUUAUAUGAAGCAAUUUGUUGUGAUACACCAAGGCAGUAGGAUAAAAGCAUUGACCAACAGGGCAGAGCUACAUCAUUUGUUUUAAAAACUCAGGUUACACCAAUACAAUUAAUUAAAUUUGCAAAUAAAAAACAAAAAGGUACUGAAAUUACUACACAAAGCUUCUAUGCAAGAAGAAAUUUCAAACAUUGUAGUUUUGUUUCAUCAUAAGAUAAUGGCUAAAAAUCAUCUUAUAUCUGCAGACAAUCAUGUCCUUCAUGAACAUGUAAAAUGGAUUAAAAUAAAAAACCAUAAAAAAGACAUAUACAAAAUAAUUGAAAAAAUAAAAUACCUUAUGGCAAGUAAGAAACAAAAGGAACACAUACAUGAAGUUUGAUAGUCGCAAGUAAGAAUCAUCAUUUGAGUAAACUUGUAUUAGGUUUCAUUUGUCCAAGGAAAUAAAUUUGAUUCAAAAACAUGAACACUAAAGUAUGAAGCAGAAAAAAAGGCCAGAACCUAUUAAAAAAAAUCAUUCAAGGUAUAAAUCCAACACUCACCACUGAUAUCAAAUAAGAGCAACAACACUACAUACCAUAAUCAAUUGUUCCAAGUAAAGAUGCAAAAAAAAAAAAAUUUGAAUAUUAUAUUUUCAGUAAAUUUGGUAAUAUUAAACCAUCCCAAAGAACAAUUUGAGUGUGAUUAAUUUUUUUUCUCCUUUGUUGUCAAACAAAGAAAAAGAGAGAAUGAAAUAAGAACAAAAACAUACUAAAAAAAGCUGUAUAAAAUUGAAUCAAAAGAGUGAUUGGCAUGAACAGAGAAAUGCACACAAAAAUCUGAGAAUUAACUUUUAAAAAAAUGAACACAAGAGAUUAAUAGAGAUAAAAAAAUCUCGCUGCACUAACUUUCAGCCUUAUCCUCCCAUCAAUUGCAACAUGCUACAUGAUGGAUUCUAAAACUUAUAGUAGAAACAAAUCAAAAGCUGAAAUUCUCACCGGAAUCAUCAACCGAAAUCAAAAUAUAAGCUGAAAUUCUCACCGAAAUCAACCUAUAGUAUAAAUAACACUGGAAUUGUCGAUGAAAUUGUAAAUCAAAAUUGAUAUCAAAUCGAGAAAGAAGAAAUUGAAUGAGAAAUUGAGAAAGAAGAAAUUGCAUACCUCUUUCGGUGGUCUUCAGAUGAUGAUGCCGGAAGGGGAGGCGAUGAGGGUUUUAACAACUUGGGUGAAUGAAAUUGUUGUGCAAAAGAGAUUAGGUUUUCAAUGAGAUAUGAUAUUGAAAUGAGGUGAUGGAAGGGGAAAUGAGAGAAAGAGGAAGUUUAAGCUGAACUCUGAAGAAACUUGAGCCGGCGGUACAACCAUCAAGGGGAACAUUGAAAAUUGGUAAAAUUAGGUUGGCAGACAAAAGUCAUAAAUAACGUUGGUAUCCAGCAAUUUUUGUUCUCCCAUGUAUACAUUUUUGUUUCCAAUGCUUAUUACGAUCACAAGGAGUUAAUGCUAACACAAUGGACGGAAAAUAUUAGGUUAAGAUUAGGGUUACCAAUAGCUUGAUCAAACAAGCUUUAGUAAGAAAGAUAUCUUUUUAUGGUAUCAGUGUAGAGAGACAUCUUAAAUUAAUCAAUCUUUAGGUCGGGUACCGAAUUUUCAAAAGAGAAAAAGUGAUUAAUAAAGUCGUCUCAGAUUCACAAUCAGCUUUUGUAAGUAUAUUAUACACACUCUUGACGGCUUUUAAUUACAAUUGAAUUGGUGGAUGAAACAAAAAAGAGAGAAGAAACCAAUCUUGUUCAAACUGGAAUUUGAAGAGGCUUAUGCCAAGGUUGAGAGUGUAUCUCAUAGUUCUUGGUAAAAAAAACAUUGGGUUUUGCUAGAAAUGGCGUAAGUGGAUACCAGAAUACCUCCCAAAAGUAUCCGUACUGGCACACUAAGAGAAACUUGAUCUAUAGUGACAAAAAAAUCCAUCACUAUAGGAUUAAUUUAUGUAGUUAAAUGCUAAGACGACAUUUACCGACGGAUCAAUGCAUUAUACUCAACAAACAACAGAUAGCAACGGAAUUGUGUUCAGAUGUCAUUACCAACAGACUGCCGCUACAAGCUUUCGACCUUUACCUACGGACAAAAAUGUAGGUAAUUCUAAGGAUACGAUUUAAACAUAAAGGACCUCUACUUACGGUAGCAGCUGUUAUUGAUUUUAUUUUAUUUUUUUUUAUUGUAAGAAUUAAAAAUUAUCAUUGUUGUUUAUAUGUUUUUCAUUCUAUUAUAAAAUCUAAAAAUAAAUAAUUCAUAAAACUACCGUUAAAAUUAGUUUACUCGGUAAAUAUAAUAAAUUAUUAUGAUCAAAAUCAGUGGAAUUUGAAUUUCAUUGUUAUAAUCAAUUUUUAGAAGAAAAAAAAUCUUGAAGUAACCUAUAACUAGAAUAAUUCCUCCUAAUCAUGACGUAUUAUACCAUUCACCUAAACCAGUAAAUCAAUACUCACAAAAAUCAAAGGCUUAAAUAUGCAAAUGGUCCCUACAACUAGGGCUCGUGUGGCUUUUGAUCCUUGCAAAAAAAAGAAAAAAUUAAUCCAAUAAUGAAAUGCUAAUGCAUGGAUUCGACCUCUUAAACAUUUUAAUUCGAAAACCUCUUAUAUAAUUCAAUAAUUUGGAAACAUCAUCAUCUUCAUCAACUUAGACCGACUCAUGCAUCUUAGUUAAAUAACAAUAGCAACAUAGGCAGUAUACAAAACAACAUAGCAUAAUAAUAUCAAAUGCAAGUCAACAACAUCUUAAAUAUUCAAUUAUACUUCAAGUAAUGUACAUAACAUUAUAUCACAUCAUAACAUUUUAUCCUCUUCCCUCGUUUUUUAUAGUCCUUUCCGUUUGUACCAAAAAAAUUACUCCCAUCCUUUCUUCUUCUUUUUCAUUAUAUUAUCAUCUGAUUAUUUUUUUUUAUAAUGAAUCAUCAAGAAGGUGGGGGGUGCUAAUAGUGUACGAUUUGAAAAUAUGAAAACCGGGGUUUAUUAAAAUGUAAAGCCCAACCCACAAUAAAUUAGGGUUUUGAAAACCAUAAAAUGCACAUUUAACCAUCUUCUUCUUCUUUCACUUCAUCAAAAACCUAUUAGGGGCGGUGAGCAAAUAUAAACAUGGUUCACGUUGCCUUUUACCGAAACUAUGGCAAAACUUUCAAGAAGCCUCGUCGUCCUUAUGAGAAGGAGCGUUUAGAUGCUGAGUUGAAGCUCGUCGGAGAGUACGGUCUUCGCUGCAAGCGCGAGCUUUGGAGGGUUCAAUAUGCUCUUAGCCGUAUCCGUAACAACGCUAGGACGCUUUUGACACUGGAUGAGAAGAAUCCUCGUCGGAUCUUUGAGGGUGAAGCACUUUUGAGGAGAAUGUUCAAACAUGGUCUUCUUGAUGAAACACAGAACAAGCUCGAUUAUGUGUUGGCUCUCACUGUUGAGAAUUUUCUUGAACGUCGUCUUCAGACUCUCGUGUUCAAAUCUGGAAUGGCCAAGUCCAUUCAUCACGCUAGGGUUCUUAUCAGACAGAGGCACAUCAGGUAUAUUCAUUUUUUAUGUUCAUAUUGAAUUAAUCUGUUUUAUAUUUAUAUCCAACUUAAUCUCACUUGUUGAUCUGUUUGUUUGUCUGGUAAUUUAUUUGAAAGAAUAUUUUAGAUUUGUCAUUUUCAGUUUAUAUACAAGCUUGCAUAAGCUAUUUUUUGUAGCUUAAUUUGAUUUUGUAAUUGCUAUAAGCUGUCUUCGUAAGCUGCAGUGAAGAUUAGCUUAUUCUUCUUCUGCUUGUGUGUUACUUAAUGUUUUUGUAUGAUGUAGGUUAUGUUUAGAUCAUUGAUUGUCUCUAACAAUGUUGUGUUUGCUGUGCACAUAUUAAUUUAUUGUUUGUAUUCGUCUAGUGAUGGAAAAACAGGUAAUCUUAUCUAGUAGGAGUAUACAGGCUUAACAAGUCUUUGCUUGUUCCCUUUGAUUCAAUACAUGUUUUGUGGCUUUUACCCCAUAUCUGCUUUUAACUUUAACUUUUGAUGUUCUCAUAUCUAAUGCUACUGCAUUUCCGGCUAUCAAUAUACUCUUUGUAUGAAGAGAAAUAGAGAGAAUGUGCUUAUUGGUCCCUGAUGUUUUUUUCUUUUUCUUUUCCUCUUUCUAUUUAGUCUUGUUCAAAUAUGUCUGGGCAUGGAUGAUAAUGUUAUUUUUUGGUUUCAUAGAGUUGGGAGGCAGGUUGUUAACAUCCCAUCCUUCAUGGUAAGGGUUGAUUCACAGAAGCACAUUGACUUUUCACUCACAAGUCCAUUCGGUGGUGGUCUUCCUGGUCGUGUGAAGCGUAAGAACCUUAAGGCUGCAGCCAAGAAGGCUUCCGGUGGUGAUGGUGAUGAGGAGGAUGAAGAUUAAAUUAUGAUUUUCAUUUUCUUAGAUCCUUGCUCUCGCCUUUUUAUAUCUGUCCUAGACUUUAGAUUUUCUAUCAUGCUUCGAGACAUGUUGUUUUUGAUCUUUUCUUUUCCAAGUAUUAAGUUUUGCUCCAAUACAUUUGAAUUAUCUUUGUUAUAAUUGAACCUUUUACCUGAUGGUGUGUGUAAGAGAAUAUUAUUUAGCAGUUUGAUAUUGCAUGUUUUGAUGGUAUAUCCGUGUAUGAGCUGAUCGAGGAGAACCCUCCUGUGCUAGAAGUCACGAUGUUUCGUGUGGUUGACUAUUGCGAUUAACAACUCAUGCACAUCUAGCCUCCCCACUAUAAAUAAUGAGUCAUGACGUUGCAUGCUACAUGUGAUUUUGGUAUUUGAUAAUUUCCAUGCAUUGCACAAAUUAGUAAUAUGCACUUGUGUAUUCUGUGUUUGAUUGCUGUAAUGGGAUUUUCUGUUUGUUGGAUCAUGAAACAAUAGAGAAGAUUAGAAUCCUAUACGCAGGUUUAGGAAUUGGUGUACUAGGAGUUGUCUUCAAACUUAAAUGACUGUUAAAAAGGCGGAUUGAGCAAUGAUAAGUUUAUUGCAUGUAUAAUGAAUAAUGAUUCUAUUUUUGUCAAACGAGCUUAUAAGCUAUAAGCUCAUUUAGUGGGCUUGCCAAACAGACCCUAGAUGUUUAGCAAUGCAAAUGGAGAGAAAAUUUGCGAUGGACAAUGAUCUGUCAGAGGUUGAGUAGAUUAAGAAAAUGCCAGUUGAGCUUCAACUCAGUGCUUGAUAUUGGAUAAUUUACAUUCACCACUUUUUUCUGUUUUUUUCAUUUCUAUAUUUAUGGAUGCUUGUGCUCUUUUGAAUCUUGAAGCAAUGUGGUAAAUGUUUUGAAACCAACCAAAGAGAAAGUCUAAGUGCUGAAAUAAAUUAUGAUUGAAGUAAAUUUGUGAAUGUUGUAAUUGCUUUGGGGAAGUAUUCAGUCAAUUAAGUUGAGUAUGGUUCACAACAAAUAUUGCUCUUUUGCAUAUGGUACACUUGAAUCAAAAGUUGUUAAAUCAGUUUAAAAUAGACAACCAUUUGCACUUUCAUUUGGCAAUUUCAUAUUUCUGAUUACUGAAGUGUAACCAUUACUCAAAUGCUGAUCUCAUUAUAUGUAGAGAAAAUAUCACAAUAGCCUAAUUAUUGUUGGCCUCAACUCAAGAGCUACAAUUCCAUAAAUUUUUGUUACAAUAUGAAUGAAAGGUGGUGCUCAUGAAGUCCUGAAGACAGGUUAGGGGGAUUGAUUUACAAGAGUUUGAAAGGGGUGUCAACACACAAUAGUGACUGCUGUAGAACAAUGAGUUAGACCUGGUGAGUUGAGUACCAUGGGUUCACCACGAUCAAACAAACAUAUGCUUCAUCCAUUUGAUUUGGGAUUUUAUGAGAAUGAUUUGGGAUUAUAGAGUACACAAUGAACUUUCCAAUGCUUUCCUUGAGAAUUUUGGAGUGCGAUUGGAACAUUUGGCAUUAGAUACUUUUGAGCAAAUUUAGCAGUAACAUUCUGCACAAUAGAUGAGUGAUCAAUUUAAGUGACAACAUAAAUAACUCAACAUUUACUUUAAGCCAAAAACUACAAGGUAAAAUUCUCACCACAAGAUUUCGCUUAGCAAUUUUUGAACAAAAAUAAGGGUUUUUUGGAUUGAAUUCAUUGGCAGCAACCUCUGCAUUUUUAAAAGCAUGUCCAAACCUGAUUUUGAGCUUUAUCACUUGACUGCCACUUGUUUCAACCCUGGAACUUUUUCUAGGAGUAGGACAUUGUGUAUUUGUUUCUCCAUUAGUACUCGGAGUUUUGAGUGGAUAGCAAAUCUCAACCGAAGUUACAUCAAAUAUAAUAACACUAAACUUUGAAUUUCCUUCGUAUUUGAAAGAUAGGUAGCAACCAUAUCCUAAUGAAUAGUAUUUUGCAAACUCUUGCCAUUCGUUGUAAAAGAAAAUGUAAUUGCCGUGUUUCUUCAAUCUCAUUCUCCAAUCACGACCAUCAGGAGCAGUAACUGUAGCAACAUUCUUGAGUUCUAUCCCAAAUCUUGUUAUAAACUCAUCUGAAAUUCUCUGCAGUGAUAACAGCACAUUAGUUAUACUAUAAUACCAAACUUCAAAAGAAGGGUAACACGUUUGAGAUUUCCCCAAUUUGAUGUUUUGAAGUAGUUUUCAAGAGACAAAAAUGAUUCCUGACACCUAAAUUUGAUUUGGACACGUCUAAGUGCUCUCAAGUAUAAUUGUUUUAGUCGAGUUUCAGUUCUAACUUGGAGGUUGUAUUUGGACCUUUCGUCUCCAACAAUCCAAUGUCACAGUUUCGAGUAAUUAACUUCAAACCAUAUCACAGAGACAUAGACUAAUCCAAAGCUGAAUAUUUUCAAUGCUUUUCUUCUCAUCAGUGAAUUUUUUUAUUCUUAUCAUCAGGGAUUUUUUUUUACUAUUUAACAGAAAGCAAAGAAUAACAGUAACUCAAAACAGAAAGGGAAACUUACUAUCUCUUUGUCAUGAAUGGGCGAGGGAAGUAUGGCCAUCUUAAAAUGUUCGGAUUCCCUUACUUCUUUUUCUGUCAAUGACUGGGAAGACCUUCCCUGUGGAGGCUGCAUUGCAAUAAGCAAUAAUUAUUAUCACUUUAUGCAUUAAGUUCACCAAUAGUUCAAACAUUAAAAGAAAAAACUGUGAAAGAAAUUAGAAUUGAUGAAUAAACAAAUGUGAAACAACGUUUUACCGUGCAAGACGCAGUAACUUGUAACACAACAACAGGCUUCCUCUUGAUCAACUCAAACCCAUGUAACUCCCUCUGAUAGAUUGUUUUCCCUUGCAAAUUUACUGAAUCCACUCGUUAUUCGCAUUGAUGAGUUUCCUUUUGUAUUCAAAAUACAAUAAACUUCCCACUGCUUUCCUUGAUAGUUUUGGAGCAUGAACAGAACCAUUAGCAUCAAAUACUUUUUAGCAAAACCAGAAGGAACAUACUACAGAAAGAAUGAGAAGUCAAUUCAAACAACACCGUAAGUAAAUACCUCAAACAUUAACUUUAAAAACCAAAAAACUAGAAAAUGAAAUCCUCACCGCAAAAAUGCCCUUGAUGGAUUUUGAAUGAAAAUAAGGGUUUUUUGGGUUGAAUUCACCGGCAGCACAAUUUGCUCUUUUGGAAUCAGAGUUAGGACCCUUUAUGCUUUGAUCUCCAUUAGUACUUGGAGUUUUGAAUGGAUAAGAAAUCUCAACAAAAGUUGGAUCAUAUAUAACAACUACGAAAUUUGAAUUCUCUUCAUACUUGAAAUCUAAAUAACAACUGUAACUGAUGGAAUAGUAUUCUGCAAAGUGUUGCCAAUUGUUGCAAAAGAAAACUUGGCCGCCACAUUUCUUGAGUUCCAUAUCCCACUCACGACCACCGGGAACGGUAAUGGUAGCAACAUUGUCGAGUUCAUUCCCAAAUCUUGUUAUAAACUCAUCUGGAAUUUGCUGCAGUGUUAACAGUUCAUCAGUUAUACUACUAAAGGAUCAAUCAAUCUUCAAAAGAGGGGUGACACAUUUAUGAGAAUUCUACAAUUUAAGUAACUACUCUCAAAAAGAACUUCAGCUAAGUACAUGUUUGGACUAAUUUUUGUGGGCGGCAGCAUUGAUUUUGGACACAAAAAUUAUUUACAAAUUUGGGCAACAUUUUUUUUUUAAGAAGCUAAAUUACCACUAGAGAGAACCGAACCUCAAACACCUGCAUUGUUGCUUUCUUUGGGUGGAAAACAUGGACAAGCCCUGGCCAUUCUUUGCUAAUGAAUCAGCAACAUUGUUGCUUUCUCUAAACACCUGCAGACAAGAACAAUUAAUAUUUUUGCAGAAAAAUAGGCAAUUAAUCCAUCUGGCUCUCAUUUUCCAAGGCACUCCAAUGUUUUUGUUGAAAGCAUUUGCCACCUGUAUAGAAUCGGUCUCAAGAAUUAUAUUAGUUAACUGCAGCUCCAUAGCUUUCUCCAUGGCCAGCAUACAGGCAGAGAAUUCUGCUUCUAAAGCUGUGGCAUGACCUAUAUUGCUGGCUAUAGCUCCCAGAAAAAGAGCUUCUGAGUCCCUGAAAACAAUUCCAGCAGCUCCACAAGGAUGAGCUCCAAUAGAAGAGCCAUCAAAGUUUAUCUUGAUCACAUUAGUAGGGGGUGGACACCAAUGAACUUCCAGAGGUUCAGCUAAGAAUAGGAAGUCUGGUUUAUGGGUGGACAGAAGUUGAAACAAAUGUAAUUGAGUUUCCUGAUUCCCGAUACCUCUAAUGUUCCAAUAUAGAUACUCCAUUGCUGGAGGUUGUUGUUGUUAUUUGGUUUAAUGCAAGUUUUGGACCUGGUAUGUACUGUCUCAGUUGUGGGAUCUUGAGAGAUGGAUGUUGUAUUACUCUGAAUAAUAGCAGAUUUGGAGGGGGGACCUUUGCUUUUUAGGUCUUCCUCUUUUACCCUUUUUGUUAGUGUCACCAGGAGUCUCCAGGUAUUUGGAAGUAUCAAUCAAAUUGUGCAGAUCAGAUUCAGGUUCUGUGUCUAAAUCAUUAUCAUUAUAAUCACUCCAGAGUUUGCUCAAUAUGUUGGUGCUCUUGAUACUAGCUUCAGUUGCUUGAUUGGUGUCUUCAACAGAAUGAAUUUUCCUUUUGUCAGGGCCUAAAACUUCAUUAGAUGUAGUGAUAGGAGAUAUGAUAGUCUGCAAUAUAGAACCAUCCACAUUAUCAGGAUCCAAAGCCAAGUUAGUUGUAACUGGUGCAGCACUAGGGAGUGACAUCCUCCCAUCCUUGCUACUCAGUUCUAGAGAUGAGGAUGAUCUUAUGGGGUAAUUCCCAUUAACAUCAUCAACAUGAGGUUUGUUUGUUACAUCUGGCAUCUUUUUAGAGGGUCCACUCUUCAAUUUACUGGGAGCCUCCAAAUCAAUGUUGUGUAAGAAACUACCUUUCUCUAAUGAAACCUCCACAUCAUUGUCACUGCUCAAAUCAUCAUCAGAAAUAAUGGGGAAUUUUUCAUCAACUUCCUUAGCUUUAUCUGCAAAAUUAAUUUCACCAACUUCAAGCAAUUCAAAAGAGUUGUGAAGUGUUAAUUCCAGAUUCAAAGGGUGAUCAGAUUCCAUUAUCUUAUCCUGGUUGAGUGAAUCAACAUUUCUAUCACUCUUACCCUUAACAACAGGUGAGAAUUCUCCCUCCUCUAAAACAAUAGGAAUGUCUUGUUUUUUCUGAACACUUUCAGCAUUAAAGAACUUAACAUGCUUACCAGGUUGAGUGCCAGAACUACUCCCAACUUUCUUUUCAGACCCAAUAGGUAUGGUUUUAGCAGGUGCAUUGCGUAUUUUCUGUAUUGGGGCCUUUGCUGUGUUUGGAGCAAUUUUGUAUAGUGUGUCCGAUCAUCCUGCAGUGUGAACAAAAGGAGGGAUGUGUUUCGUACUGGACAAUGAUGGAUAAAGCACGUUCUUCACUUUCUACCACAACAGAUUCAAAAAGAUUUUCACAGAGAUCAAUAUCUAUAAGAACACGAGCAAAGAUACCCAGGUGUCUGUUUAGUGUGGUGUCAUCAAUUGAAAGAGGUGUUCCUAGGCCAGAUGCUAUUUCAAAUAAUGUUUGUUUCUCCCAAUAUUCUUGAGGUAAAUUCAAGAAUCUGACCCAUAUCUGUGCAUGGGUUUGUGUUUGAGCUUGAGGAGCAAAGUCCUUAGAUCAACAAUAAAACCUCAAUAAACCAGGUUGGAGGUUACAUUACCAAGUGCCCAGAUUCUUUUCAUAUCAUCAAUUGAAUUGAAAUUGAAUUCAAAAAAACCCUUACCAAGUGGGGUUAAGCUCCAGUUCUGUAGAUGAGGCCAUAAUUUGCUAAGCUUCAAUUUCAUAGCUUGAGUAGUCACCGGCGUAUCCCCCUUUUGAAGGGUUAAACGUCCAUGAAGAUGUGUCUGGCACGAUGCUAACCCAGCUUCAUAUGCAGCUCUUGAGAUUCGCACAUGCACUGAUUUACCCAUAACCACUCUAGGAGGUAAAGUAACAAGGACCGUUUCACCUGUAGCAUCGCCGAUGGCUUCACUGUUGAAUUCGGCGGAGAAUCGAGCUUGGCCAGAAAAGGCCAUGGACAUACCAUUAUAUUGAACCCAGAUCUUCACCAGAAAGGAUGAUGAGAAGGGUAGAAGAAUAGAAAUCAGAAAUAAGGAUAAAAACGAAGCUGAAAAGGUAGUUGAAGAAACAAUCACCGAGCGAUGGUGGAAAAUAAUCGUGAAGAAGGAAGAAUUACACCGGAAUUUGGUCGAAGAUUGAUUAGGUCGCCGGAAAGAUACGGUUACAGGGAGCAUUUUUAGAGAGAGACAUUUUUUUGAGAAAAAUUACUCAAAGACAAACCAACGAAAUAGGAUUUUUGCAUCGUAGGCUCAAAUUUCUCAUUGAUAUCAUUAUUUAGAAAAUCUAAUCAGAUAUAAGUCACUUUCAUUAUUAGCAAAAAUCAUGUGAUGAUGAAUCUGCGGAUAGGCUCCAAUUUCUAGGGUUUAUAAAAUCACAAUGACAUGUCUUGAGAAAUGAAAAUGAUAAAGUCUCCAUUAAUCCAAAACACAGGCUCAAUCAAUGAAAGAUUCAAAAUCAAAUUUUACAACAUUAGAAUUUAGAAUCAAACAUAUUUCCUCACAUAUUUCCUUCCUUAAUUUAGAAUCAAUAUAUUAUUAUUAUUAUUGUUAUUGUUGUUAUUCUCUUACACACAUAAUCAAACUAAUAUUCAAAAUCAACUAUGCUUCAAUCAAUGAAGCAUAGUUGGAUCAAAGUUUCGGUUGGAUACACGGGUAUACCAUAAAAACAAGCAAUAUCAAACAGCUAAAUAAUAUUCUCUUACACACAGCAUCAAGUAAAAAGUUCAAUUAUCACAAAGAUCAUCAAAUGUAUUGGAGCAAAACUAAUACUUAGAAAAGAAAAGAUCAAAAACAACAUGUCUUGAGCAAAGAUUUCCUCACACAAUAAACAGGGAUGGGAAAAUGGUAAAAGUCAUUUGCAUGACAGAAAAUCUAAAGUCUAGGGCAGAUAUAAAAAGGCUAGAGCAAGGAUCUAAGCAAAAGAAAAUCAUAAUUUAAUCUUCAUCCUCCUCAUCACCAUCACCACCGGAAGCCUUCUUGGCUGCAGCCUUUAAGUUCUUUCGUUUCACACGACCAGGAAGACCACCGCCGAAAGGACUUGUGAGUGAAAAGUCAAUGUGCUUCUGUGAAUCAACCCUCACCAUGAAGGAUGGGAUGUUCACCACCUGCCUCCCAACCCUAUGAAACCAAAAAUGACAUUAUCAUCCAUUCCCAAACAUAAUGAUAUCUACUUCUUUUGAUACAUAAAAUAUAUUGAUGAAAAUUAAUGAUACCCUAACAGCCACUACAAAAGAUGCAAGUAAAGAAAGAGUUACAGGCAGUUAUGAGGUAGUAUACGCAAAACAUGUAUUGAAUUAAAGGAAACAAGCAAAGACUUCUAAUCAUGUAACUCUAGGAGGAUACAAACAAUAGAUCAAUAGACAUUGCAAAAUAAUACAUUUAUAAGCACAAGACACAUAUAGUGUGCAAACGAAACAACAAUGCAACCAAUGAUCUAACUAUGAUCUGCAUCACACAACAACAUUUAGUACGGGUAUAAAGAAAAUUAGCUUAUGGCUUAAAUAUCCAAACAGGCCCCCAAAACGAAAGCAAUUGUAAUUGGCAAAUGACAAAUCAUGAUCAUUCAAUCAAAUAAAUUAUUAGACUAAAAAAUAUAACCAUCAUCUUUGAAUCCCUAAAAGAUUAUCCUGCAAGCAGUUUCAGUCUUUAAUGUUUUUUUUUUUUGAGGGGAGUAUUUGAUGUUAGAUCAACUUAAACUUUUGAAUGAAUUUUGCAGACAUUUUUAGAACACUAUAAAAAGUUCCCGCACAAAAUCUGACCUCAAAAAUUAGUUUCUAUGUCCAAAUUUUGUUGCUUUUCUUUAGAGCUUUUGAUGUUUGGAAGAUUCAUAUUAUUUUUAUGUGAAGAAAUAUUUUAAACACGACAAAAAAAAUUCAUUCAAAAAUUUAAAAGUUGAAUGAUAAUUGAACAUCUUAUUUCAGGAGAGACUUAAACUAUUUACAAUAUAAUUUUGUAAAAUUUAAAAUUUGAAGAAAAUUUGUACAGAUACUAAAAACAACUUAUUAUAAUUUUAUAAGAACUAAAAAUAUGUUUAACUCUUUAAAAUUUUGAGUGGAUAAAUUCAACAUCCUAUUCUUUGCAUAUGGAGGAAGUGCAUUGAAAGGGAUAAGUUAUGUUUGAAUUGUGAGUGGGAUGAAAAAGUUGAUGGUUACUUGCACAUUUUUGCAUUUGUUGUUUUGCAAGGUAAGUUCAAGAGGGAAUAUACACGUCUUUAAUAACCUUUGUUUUUCCUUCUUCACCUAACUUAUCUCACAAAACUUAAUCUAUUGUUUUUGCUUAGAGACUUCCAAGAAAUCGAUGUAUCGUUUGAAGCUUGAAUUUUAUUACGGAAAGAAAUUAACAUUUUAUUUUAGGUUUAUUCUAUUUGUAAUAAUUUUAUUCGAUAAAUUCAGUUGUAAGAAUCUACCACUUCCGUUAGAUUUAAAUUCAGUUGGUAAAGUGAAAUUAUUUUCUAAUGAAAAUACCAAUUUUUAUUUUAAGUUCGAGUAUGUGAAGUUGGUAUAUAUGUAUAAAGCAAGCAUGGUACUCGUUUUGUGAUUAAAAACAAAGUUUGCUAUGUCCAAGUUCAUUUUUUAAAAUAAAAAUAUUCUCUAUCUAUUUGGCUAGAUAUAAAAAAUAAAUAAAAAUAAAAAGAUGAAUAUAAUUUGAACAUAUUUACGUACAAUCGUAAAGAUGAUAUUACCUUGAAUUGAGUAGUGCCACAUAGAUGAUAAAAUGCAUUGCUGAAACUUAUAUUUAAACCUGAGGUCACUCCGUUAAUUGAGACUCCUAAUAUUUUAUCUUUUGGUGGAGUUCGAUGAUUGAACAUCGGACUUUGCAUAUAUUAUGUUGUCCUUACCAACUGAGAUAAACUCACGUAGACACUCCUAACAUUUUAUCUAAUUAGCUAGUGAAACAAAUGUACAAUAAUUAUUUUUAUUAAGAAAUGAAAUAGUGAAAAUUGAAGAUCGUUUUAGUCACGUUAUUUUAUUUCUAACCAUAUUUUUGGUACAAAACAUCCAUCUCGAUUUAGUAACAACUAAUUCCUGUUAAGAAAUAUGUUGGGUACUUUUUUUAUCUGACCAUAUGUUUAAGGUGUUAAAGUAUCUUAGUAUUCAAUUUGUUUUAUAGACGUACACUCUCAUACUCUAAAGUUUUGUUGAGCAAGAAACUCAUAUUCAAAAUCAUAUAAUGUCGUUUCAUUUUUAUAUACUUAAUUAUUUUAAAAUUUAUUUAAAAUAUAAAUGAAUUUUGCCUGUAUAAUACCUAUGUUAAACAAAACUCAAGAGUCUUCUCGUGAGUUUAGCUAUGAAUAAUACAUAGUAUAUAUAAGGUUUGAUGUUCAAACCCUGACAAAAAAAACUCAAGAGUGUUUAAAGAAUUUCAUAUUUUAUGACCACACGUGGGUUAAUCACUUUGACUAAAGGAAUUUUUUUCUUAAAAAGAAAGUUAGAUAUAUACGAGUAUUUGUUGGAGUUGUUUUGGUGAACUAUUUAGAUAAAGAUUCAAUCAUUGCACCAUGAAAAAUUGAUUUUAAGCGUUAGUUAGGAGAAGAGCAACUCCAAAACUACCAUCUAUAUAUAGAAAACUAAUCGGUUUUUGAUGCAUAUUUUUUAUUUUAUUUUUAGUUUUAUUGAAAAAAGUUUAGAGAUGAUAAGAAGGCUGCAUGCACUUAUCGAAGAUGUAGUUGUGUGUAAGAAAUAUUAGAUGGAAAUAGUGCAAGUUUGACAUUUAAUGUCAGAAUGACUAUUAUUAUACCUUUUUAAAGAGGGAAUUGACCACAAGUAAAGCUCACAUCUUUGUCAUGACAUAUGGACAUUUUAAGCCAAUUGAGUCCGUCUGACGCUCGAAAAUCAGUUUUUAUUAUUUCAAUCCAAUUUUAUAAUUUCUGUUUUAUUUUUUGGUUUGGAUUUUCGGUUCAUUAGCCAUCGCUCCCUUUCUUCUUCUUCUUGUUAGAGGGGUGAUUUAGGGUCAAUUUUGAUCCAAAAAUCACCUCUCCGAUUUGUUUUUCCUUCUACCUUAAUUGAAUAAGUGAUUUCACAUAUUUUCUGUUUUCUUUCGUUUGUUUUUGUGAUUUCUUCGUCUCUAAACGACUCUGUUUGUUUUGAUUUCCCGUCUUUGUGCGGUGUGUUUUUUAUUUCCUGUCUUAGUGCAGUGUUUAUUUGAUUCAGGUUGAAAGAUUAGCUUUGAACAAGAGCAGAUCCGAUCAAUGACAAUGACUUUGGCGUCGUCAAUGUUGUAGAUCCGGAGACAUGAGGAUUCCAGAGACUUGAAUAUAGUCAUAUUAGUCAUAUUUGUAGGCAUAGAUACCUUGCUGUUUUAUGCUAUUAACAUGGAUGAUGUGAGUUUGUUCACAGAUUCAUCCUUUUUGUUUUUAGCGAAUUUGAAUUUGUAUUGUAUUGAUGUACUCUAUCAAUUUGAAUGAAUGAAUAACGUUUAUUUUUGUCAAAAAGAAAAAAAAACACUUCAGUGUAGACAAAGAGACUUUUUUAUUGAAUAAAAGUUCAAAGAGUUUAUUUCUUUUUUUCGAUGGAUUCCAGAGCCAUAAUUAGAGAAUUGUCGCUUACAAAUUUAUUUCUUUCAAUUUAUGUUUAGUAUUUGCUAACCUACAACUUCCGACUAUGUUAAAAGACAUGUUGGAAAAAGUUAUGUGUCUGCUUCAAAGUGUAUGACUUUCUUUUUUGUUUGGGUUCAAAGUGUAUGACUUUACUUCGUUGUAAUGGGUUUUGAUUAUACCAAUUAUACUUGUUUGAAUAAAUAGAACCAAGUUUUAAUGACUUUUUUGACAUUCUAAAACAACGGGAGUAAGAUUUUCCAUCUCCAGCAUAAUUUCAAAUGUAUAAUAAUAUAUUGAAGAAGAAAAAAAUUAUGCCUUUCAAAAGCACACUAGCUCCGAACAAAAUAUAUUUCCAAAAACAUGUGAAUAUUUUUAAAAGAAAUGUUAUUUGUACAACCAUUUUAUCAUAAUUUUUGGACAAUUAUCUCUCUUAUAAUCAUAUUAUGUACUUAUUUUCUCUUUUUUUUUUCCCUCUCUAUUGUUUUUUACCAAUAAAAAAUAAGAAGAGAGCUAAAUAAGGUUAUCACAAAAAUUGUCAUAAAUAGUUGUACAAAUAUCACUAAUGAUUUUUUAAAUGUGAGCAUUGAAAAAGUAUCUCCCAAAACAAUGUCAUCAUUCUUUGGUCGACCUUGAGAAAGACUAUAUUAUUAAUUAAAAUCAAUUAAACAUUAAACACAACAAUGAUGAAUCAGUGUCACUAUGCAUGUUUUAAGAUGAAAUCAAAAUAAAAUGUUGAAUGGAAAAACGUCAUAUCAAAACCAACCAAUCUUGUUUUGAAAGCUCAAAACAAUCAAAAAAAAUUAAUAGUGAAAAAAAUGUGAUAAACACAUAUAUUCUACUAUUUUUAUCCGUAGUUGCAUUGUGAUCAAUGAAUGUGGUUUGCACAUAGCUUUCAAAAUCUUCUUGUAGGUUUACAUUGAAAAUGAAACCUCCCUAGGCUUAGCGUGAAGAGUUACACUCCAAUACAUUCUAUUACUCCACGUCACAUACCCUUACCCUCCCUCACAUUUAAACCCCCCUUAUUCUCCUCUCACCUUCAAUCCAUCCAAUUCACAAACCAAACCAAAAAACCUUUCACUUUCACUUUCUCUUAACAAUGGAGGGUCUUAUUCCAUUUGUGUACAAAGCCAUAGUACAAUACAAGAAUGGCAAACAAAGGUCUAAUAUUAGUUCUUGGUUUUGUGACUCACCUUCUUACUCCUACAUGAAACUUUCAGCUGGUGAUUCAGGUCGGUUUCAAAACUUUGAUGCUUCUUCUUCUUCACCGUCUUCCAACUCUACCAAUUCUAGAACACAAAUCGUAGCUUCUUCGGGUGGUGAUGUUCGAUCUCCACGUCGCCGCUUGAAUUCACAUAGAGUUUCAACAUGAACAGCUUAUUGUGGUGUGGUGCUUAAAUGAAUGUGGUCAUGAACAACUUAUUGUGGUGCUUGAUAAAUGUUGUUUGAUUAAUCAUUAUUUUACUUUUGUUGUAAUUUGCAUAUGGAAACGUGUGACUAACCAAAAAGAAAGGAGUCAUACACUUAGUAAUUAGUGUGCUUGGUAUAGUUUGCUAGCAUUAUGCAAUUGUAAAUAUGGGUCAUGAAUGCUUCUAAAAAUAGUGUAUGUGUUUCAUGGCCAAAGGGUCAUAAAAUAUCAUACACUAUAGUACUAUGUGAUUUAAAUGGGAAAAAGUGGUAGAUUGAAUAAAGGAUGUUUCUUGGCUAAGGGACCAUAUCAUGGAAACAAUGAAAAAUUAUAUUGAAAUUAAUGGCUGGUUUGUUAUGUUUAAUGGUUUGAUUGAUUUUAUUUAUUUUUUGGUACAUGCUUGAUUUUAAUCUAUUCACUGUUUUAUGAGGUGGUGGGUAUUUCUUAGAUCUUAUUUGCAUUAAAAUUGGUGGGAUUCUUAAUAAGAGUGUGUAAGAGAGAAAAUGAAGCCAACAAUACAAUUUAAUUGGAGCUUUUUGGUAUCAUUAUGAGUUUGUCAGAAUCAUGGUAACUCUAUAUAAAUGGAAAUCUACUACGGCUUUAAAAUUUGAUAUCAACGUGUAAGCUUCUUUAACGAAAAGUAUAUUGUAUGUAUUAAGG
rnacentral:lncRNA from 1 species